GAGCCGUGGGUGCGAGGGAGUCUGGGGCACGAGGCGUGUUGGACGUGAGUGUCGACGGGGUGCGCAAGAUCCGGCUGCUAGGAACUAUUUGCGGCUGCUACUCCUCAGGCUAGGAUUUCCCAUUUUUGCUUUUUUGGUUUUGGGCUUGUUUAGUGGGUUUGUGUUUGUAUUGGGCUAGGUUUUGUUUUAGUGGUUAAUUUGUUUAGGCCUAGGUUUGGGUUUGUUUAAAAAUUUGGUCCUACAGCUGCCCCUCUUUGCUCAUUGUCGUGUAAUGAGAAUAGAGCAAAGAUUUUAGGAGGACCAAAUUUGCUUGGGCUGGCUGAGUCUUGUCUUUUUUGCCACAGCCCACCGCACUUUAUUGCUUCAAAAAUGCUCAUUUGCUGCUUCAUAUAAAUGAGGUUUGCUGAAAUUUGAUCUGCUCCGCUCUUGCUCGGUGAAGAUAAGAUCCGCUGUAUCUGACCUGCUCCACUCUUGUUCAGUAGAGAUAAGAUCUGAUAUAUUUAGCCUGCUUCACUCCUGCUCAGUGAAGAUAAGUCUGAUGAUUGGAAUCUGCUCCAUCGCUAGUACAGGGAGAUAAGAUUCACCAAAAUUCGAUCUACUCUGCUCCUGCUCAGCGAAGAUAAGAUCUGCUAUACUUAGCCUGCUUCACUCCUACUCAGUGAAGAUAAGGCUGAUGAUUAGAAUCUGCUCCAUUGCCGAUACAUGGAGAUAAGACUCGCCAAAAUUUGAUCUGCUUCACUCCUGUUCAGUGAAGAAAAGAUCGGGUAUUUUAGCCUGCUCCACUCCUGCUCAGUGAAGAUAAAGCUGAUGGCUGAAAUCUGCUCUACUCCUGCUCAGUGAAGAUAAGACUGGUGGCUGAAAUCUGCUCCACUCCUGCUCAGUGAAGAUAAGACUCGCCAAAAUUUGAUCUGCUUCACUCCUGCUCAAUGAAGAUAAGAUCGGGUAUGUUUAGCCCGCUUCACUCCUACUCAGUGAAGAUAAGGCUGAUGAUAUCUGUCUUUUUAAUCAAUCCUGCUACAUUGUCUACUGGGGAUCCUAUCUGUAGAAGAGUGAUUUUAUGCUUAUGCUAGAUGUUUAGGAUGCCAUGAUUAAUCAAUGCUCCUAACUAGAUGUAUUAUGGAUAUUUAAAUGCAUAAAUGCAAAAUGUCAUGAGAAUGAUCAUUUUAAUUUUUAGGCUGUUAUCGCUUGUUGUUUGCUAUGGUAACAUCCCUGAUGUAUGCCUUCUCAUCCAGCUUAAUAAAAGAGGGCUUGAGGAUACUGUAAGUACCUUUUCCUUCACACGUUUCUAGCUCUUUAAGCCUGGUGAGUUUUAAAUAAUUGUCCUAUUUCAGGAUCUUGUAUUGUUUAGAAAUCUUUCAGAGUAAAACGUAAAACCUUUUUUGAGAACAUUGUUAGUUCAUUAAUCAUUAUUUCAAUAUAAAACGCUUGAAAAAGAUCAUAAGGGUAAAUGGAACUAAAAUUUAUUCGAGUCCUAGUUCACGAAAUAUGUACUAAAGAAAGAAAGCAUUGAUUAUUUGAAAUACAAAAAUGGAUAAAAAGAACAAAUAGGUGCCCUAGAUUCCGCAGUUUGAGCUUCUCUGAACGAACUACUCGAAGACCAUUCUACACUUGACAUGUGCUCAAGGGAUCUAUAGCAUUUUGUCGAUGCCCCAAGAUGUAGCCCAUCCUUUCUUUGUCAAUUCUAGUGUAACGAAACUGCUACUUGCCCCAGUCUGGAUCAAUUUUUGAAUUGCCCUUUGUGGGUUUUCAAUUCAAAACCCUUUUGGUCUCAAUGCGCCCUUUUACGGGUUUUCACCUUGGCCUCUCCCUUUUUUUUUUGGCGCCCUUUACGGGUUUUCACCUCAACUGCUCCAAGUAAAAUAUCUUUUGACAGAAUCUGAAUUUAUAGGGUUAGGCAAGCUCUUGCCAUCCAUUUCUGCUAGUAUCAAUGCCCCUCUAGAGAAAUCUUUUUUUACCACAUAGGGUCCUUCCCAAUUUGGCAUCCAUUUCCCCCUGAAAUAUUUUUGCAUAGGGAGAAUAUUUUUCAAUACUAAGUCCCCUUCAUGGAACACCCUAGGGUGAACUUUUUUGUUGUAGGGUCGUAUCAUUCUCCUCUGGUACAUUUGACCAUGACGAAUAGCCUUCAGCCUUCUCUCUUCAAUCAAGUUUUGUUGAUCGUAACGAGAUUGGAUCCAUUCUGCUUCGUCUAACUUCAACUCUGAUAAAACUCAGAGAGAAGGGAUUUCGACCUCAAUAGGUAAAACUGCCUCCAUCCCAUAAACCAAUGAGAAAGGUGUUGCCCCGGUAGAAGUUCUGACAGAUGUCCGAUAAGCAUAAAGGGCAAAUGGGAGCUUUUCAUGCCAAUCUUUGUAGGUCUCUGCCAUUUUUCUUACAAUCUUCUUGAUAUUCUUAUUAGCUGCCUCAACCGCCCCAUUCAUUUUUGGGUGGUAUGGCGACGAGUUGUGAUGUUUAAUGUUGAACCGACCGCAGACUUCUACUAUUGUGCUAUUAUUCAGAUUCAAUGCGUUGUCAGAUAUGAUUUUUCUGGUAUACCAUAACGACAUACGAUCUCCUUCUUUAGGAACUUACUGACCGCCGACUUUGUGACAUUGGCGUACGAAGCAGCCUCCACCCAUUUGGUAAAGUAGUCAAUGGCCACAAAAAUGAAUCGAUGUCCGUUGGAAGCCUUUGGCGAAAUCGGCCCAAUGACGUCUAUACCCCACAUUGAGAAUGGCCAUGGGGAAGCCAUAACAUGGAGGGGGUGAAGGAGGCACAUGGAUCUUGUAUCCAUAAAUUUGACACUUAUGGCACUUCUUAGCGUAAUUGAUGCAAUCUCCUUCCAUUGUGGACCAGUAAUAUCCGAAUCUCAUGAUUUGUCGAGCCAUUGUAAAACCAUUGGCAUGUGUCCCACAGAUGCCAUCAUGGACUUCCUCUAGAAUUUUCUUUGCCUCAACAACGUCAACACAUCUUAGCAACACCUGAUCCUUUCUUUUAUUAUAUAGGACCUCACCGUCCAAGACAUAGUCACUGGCUAACCUCCUCAAUGUUCUUUUAUCAUUUUUGGUUGCUUGAUCUGGGUAUGCACGGCUCUUCACAUAUUGUAAGAUAUCAUGAUACCAAGGAUGAUCAUAUCUCUCUUCCUCUUCAUCGACAUUAUAGCAAUGAGCCGGAGCCUCACAGAUACUCAUUUGAAUUGGCUUUAUAUCCUCCUGUUCAUUUACUUUGAUCAUGGAAGCCAGUGUAGCCAAGGCGUCAGCCAUCUGAUUCUCGUCUCGUGGGAGGUAAUAAAAGGUAAUAUCACCAAACUCUUCAAUUAAUUCUAGGAUUAACUUUCGGUAACUGAUCAAUUUAGGAUCUCUCGUUUCCCACUCGCCUUUAAGAUGAUAAAUUACCAAUGCAGAAUCUCCAUACACUUCUAAUACUUUGAUUUCGCGGUCUAUAACUGCCCGAAUUCCCAUGAUACAUGCCUCGUAUUCUGCCAUGUUGUUUGUGCAGUCAAAAUCCAGCUUGCAAGUGAAUGGAUAAUGGUCUCCAUUUGGGGAUAUCAGUACUGCCCCAACUCCAUUUCCAACGGCAUUUGAUGCUCCAUCAAAAUUUAAUUUCCAAGAAUGAUCUUGUGACAGCCCUAAAGUGACCCUAGUCGGAAAGCGGUUUCGAGACCGCUAAACCGAGUCACCAAAUUAUUUGAAUAUGGUAAUUAUUGUCUAAAAUAUGUGAAUAUGAAUGUGUGAAAGUUUUAAGCUUCGAUGUAGUUAAUUGCAUGUGAAUUUAGUUAAUAGGACUUAUGUGUGACACUUUUGAAAUGUGAUAGGUUAAUCUAUAAGGAUCUAUUAGUGCAUGUAAUCAAAAGGGUAGACUUGCAUGUCAAUUUCCCCACUUAAUUGGUAGUGGCCGGUCAUGACAAUGAGGGUGGACAAAAUGUGAUGGGCAAAACAUGUCAUAAACAUGUUAUGUUAGUGUUUUAUGUUAGAAAGAAUAAAAUAAAAGGCUAGUAAUAAAGUAAUGAAAAGGGAGGGGUGAUGAAAACAAAGUUGUCUCAUCCAUGCUCCCCCCCAUUGCCGUGACUUGAAGAAAAAAAAAAGAAAGAGUUCUCAUGUUGUUCAACUUGGCCGAAUAGAAGAAAGAAAAAGAAGGGAAAGAGCUUGGAGAAAAUCGGCUAUGGUGGUUCAUUAGACUAAGGUAUGUUGAUGUUGUUCCAUGAGAUUCAUGCAUGUUUUUAGUUGUUAGCUUGAGUUCUACCUAGCCCAUGGUUUAAAUCUUUGCUAUGAGAUGGACAUGAUAUUCGGCCAUGGGUGUUGUCUUCUUGGUUGAUGUUUGAUGUUGUGGUGAUGAGGCAUGGAGAUGAGCUAAGUUUCGGCUAAGGUGGACUUGUGUUGAUGUCAUUUGCAUGAUAAGUGUGAAGCUUUGUAGUGAUACAUGUUAUGGUGAUUGAUGACUCUUGGAUUUUCUUUUUAGCAUUUUUGAGUUAGACAUUAAGUUCUUUGUUUAACCCAUGACCAAAAUUGAAAUGGUAUGGUGUCUUGAAUCAUUCGAUCAUCUUAUGUUAAUAUUAAGGUAUGUUAAUGCUCUUUCAUUGAAAAUCUUUGUAUAUUUGGAGUGGUCAUCAAGUAUAGAAACUAGCUCAUGGCAAAUGUUUUUGUAAAGUUAUGAAGAUGACAAUCGGUCAUGGAUGUUUGUAUUUCUUUGAUGUUGUUUUUGAUGCUUUAGUGUAUUGAGGGUUGAUUAUAGAUGAGUUGAGCUUGGUAAAAUUAAAUGUUUGUGGCUUAAUUGCUUAAUGACAAUCGGCUAUGUUGAAAUGCUAAAUUAGUGCUAAAUUGUAAGUAUUUAAUUGAGUGUUAGCCGAAAUUGAGCUUAUGAUAGUAAUUAGAAUUUGUGAAAUUUAUGCAUUUUGUGGUCCAAGUGUGAUAAGAACCAUACGGUUAUGGCAUAUAAGCAUGAAAUCGAGUCAUGGCAUGUUUUAUUAAUUAUGAUACAUAUUGAAAUCUAUUGUUUUAGAUAUAGAUUAAAUGAUAUGUGAUUGCCAGAUGUGAUUGUUAAGUGAAUAAUAUUAGUUAAGUACUUAAGCAAAUCUAUUGUUUUACUUAAGCUUAAGAGCAAAGAGGAUCAAAGUCGGAUAGGGGAAAAGAGAAAGUAAACGAAUAGCCGUGGAUAUCUAGUCGCCGACCACUUCCGAGGUAAGUUUUAAGUGAUUAAACGUUGAGUAAAUUCAAUUAUAAUAGGACAUGAUAAAUUGAUUUAAUAAGAUAUGAUGUGGCCAUGUUAUGUUCUAAGCUCAAAUGGUAAGUUCUUAAGUGGUUGAGCUUGGGAAUUUAAGUGUAAUUUGAAAUAGUCUGCUUAGGACAGCAGUAGUAACGUCACUUUAGAAAAUCACCAUAAAUUUAUGGACUUGAAUUAGAGGCUGAAUGACACAUUAAAUUAAAGCUUAAUGAGUCUAGUUUCUUAUAAAAGAAACCGUGUAAGCAAAGGAAUUUCCGAUAAUGAGAUAUUUAAAGUUGUGUGAGACAGUGCAGAAUGACACUGUAAUCCUCUAUUCUGUUUUUAGAAAAUCAUUAUAAAUUGUACAAAAAUUUUUAAAAGACAAAAUUUAUAUUCUAGAUGCCUUAGUGAGUCUAGUUUCAAAUGAAAUAAACUAGAACAUAUUUUGAAUUUUUUACAAUGAGGAAUUUGAUUCGUAGUGAAGAGUGGUCAGCAUAGUCAAAUAGUGAAAUAGUGGAAACUUGAAGAAAAAUCUGGCAUUGAUUGGCCAAACUAAAAAUUCUGAAAAUUUGUUGGAUAAAAUAUGUAUGAGUCUAUUUUCAGGGAAAAUUAACGGUACUUCAUUUGGAGUUUCGUAGCUCUAUUUACGAAUAAUUUAAUGACUGUUGCUCAGGAAAAACAGCUUGUGCUGAAUUUGUGAUUAUGUUGUAAACCUUAAUAAAACUAUUUGAGUUGCUUAUAAGCUAUCGAUUAAAUAUUGGUAAUCAAAGUACCAAAUCCGUAUUAAAGUGAAGCUAUAAGCCGUAAAUGACUAGUAUACCUAGUCAAUUUUGUUAUGAUGAAAUUGAUGUACAAGGUGUAUAUAUGUGAUAAGGCCGAAUGGCCAAUGUGAUGAAUGUGAAAGUGUAUAUAUGUGAUAAGGCCUAAUGGCCAAUGUGAGGAAUGUGAAAGUGUAUAUGUGAUAAGGCCGAAUGGCCAAUGUGAUGAAUGUGAAAGUGUGUAUAUGUGAUAAGGCCGAAUGGCCAAUGUGAUGAAUGUGAAAGUGUAUAUAUGUGAUAAGGCCUAAUGGCCAAUGUGAGGAAUGUGAAAGUGUAUAUAUGUGAUAAGGCCGAAUGGCCAAUAUGAUGAAUGUGAAAGUGUGUAUAUGUGAUAAGGCUGAAUGGCCAAUGUGAGGAAUGUGAAAGUGUGUAUAUGUGAUAAGGCCGAAUGGCCAAUGUGAGGAAUGUGAAAGUGUGUAUAUGUGAUAAGGCCGAAUGGCCAAUGUGAUGAAUGUGAAAGUGUGUAUAUGUGAUAAGGCCGAAUGGCCAAUGUGAUGAAUGUGAAAGUGUGUAUAUGUGAUAAGGCCGAAUGGCCAAUGUGAUGAAUGUGAAAGUGUGUAUAUGUGAUAAGGCCUAAUGGCCAAUGUGAUGAAUGUGAAAGUGUGUAUAUGUGAUAAGGCCUAAUGGCCAAUGUGAUGAAUGUGAAAGUGUGUAUAUGUGAUAAGGCCGAAUGGCCGAUGUGAUGAAUGUGAAAGUGUAUAUAUGUGAUAAGGCCGAAUGGCCAAUGUGAUGAAUGUGAAAGUGUAUAUAUGAGAUAAGACCUGAUGGCCGAUGUGAUGGAUGUGAAGGUGUAUAUAUGUGAUAAGGCCGAAUGGCCAAUGUGAUGGAUAUGAAAGUGUAUAAAUGUGAUAAGUCCCGAAGGGCAUUUGUGUCAGUACUAUAUCUGGGUUAAAACCCCGCAGGCUUUAUGCGAGAAUAUUAUCCUGAUUAAUGUCCGUAGGCUUCGUGCUCGUACUAUAUCCGAGCUUUAAAGACCCGACGGCUAAAUGCUAGGAUUCAAGUAAGACUUUGGUAUUGAGUAUCUGCAAUAAGUUACCAUCAAAUAAGUAUUAUGUAUUUAAGACGUUCAGGUACGUAUUACUUACUCAUCGGUAGAGUGAUUUCGAAGUGAAUUAUCAGUAUCAAAGAGGUAGGUAAAUGUGAUUAAUAUUACAACUCUAAAUAUGAGAAUGAUCUAAUUGGUAAUGGUAUGCUUGUAUAAUGAAGUAUGUGAUGAAAUAUUUUUAUGUAUUAGUGCAUAUUCUGCCCAAAAGCCUUAUGAUUUGAGUAUGGGUUGGGUUCAGCUAGAUGUGCCAGUGCAAGGUAAGGAUUAUGUUUUGUAAGCUUACGUAUACGUUAUAAGGAAUACGUUUGGUUCUUUAUGUGCCUACGGUAAUUUAGUACUUGUCAUGUGGAAAUACUUAAAAAUAUGGAUGUGAUUAUGAACAAGUGGAAAAGAUUAUUGUAAGUUGAAAAUUGAUGAAGAAUGUGCUUUGGAAAUAUUUGACCAUCUAGGUCAUUAUCAUUCGAAAGUAUAUAUGUGACAGCCAAGUGAUGCGUUUAUUGAUAUUAUAGUUCGAGAUGAAGCUCUAGAUUAACUUCAUCGAACAGUAGAAAUGAAUGACCAUUGAUAGUGAAUGAGAACACUUUGUUUUGCUUAAAACUUACUAAGCUUACAAAAGCUUACUCUGUUCGAUCAUGUUUUGGUUUAUAGGUUGUGGAUUCUGACUACCAGCUCGGGGAUCAUCAGCACUUCGUCACACUAUCUACCACUAUGGCAACUAUGUAAUUUGACUUAGCUUAUGGCAUGUAUAGGAUAGACAAUAUAGUAGAAUGAUAUUUUGACUAUUGUAUAUAAGCCAUAUGAAAAUGGCAUCUUUUGGAUGUUUACAUAUAGAAGUUUACAUUUUAUCCUUGGCUGAGUUUAGUGUUUAUCCAAAUGAAUGAAGAAGAAAAAUCAAAAAAAAAGUAAAAAAAAAGUUUUACCGUUCUGUCAUGAGUUACAAGUCUGGUAAUGCCCCUUACUUAUUCCGGCGAUGGUUACGGGAUAGGGGUGUUACAGAUCUUCAGACAUGUCUCCUUCAGCGAUUGCUACAUACAUCAGAUCUUCAUUGGGAAAACUGAAAUUUAAAGGUUCAUAGUCCUCUAGAGCUUUACUGGCUAGGAAGUCUGCUAUUGCACUCCCCUUCACAGCUUUUUGGUUUACAUAGACUAUAUCAAAUUCAGAGAGCAGAAUCUGUCAUCGGGCCAUCCUUCCAUUUAAAGUGGUUGAUUCCAUCAUGUAUUUGAGAGGGUCUAGCUUUGAGAUUAGCCAAGUUAUAUGGUACAAUAUGUAUUACCUCAACCUUUGUGUUGUCCAAACCAAAGCACAGCAUAGCUUCUCAAUUGGCGGAUAACUCAUUUCACACUCAGUGAAUUUUUUACUGAGGUAGUAUAUCGCUCUUUCUUUUCUCCCAAUCUCAUCGUGUUGGCCGAGCACACACCCCAUUGAAUUUUCAAAUACUGUUAAGUACAGUAUCAAUGGUCUGCCAGGGCUUGGUGGUGCUAGCACUGGGGGACUGGACAAAUAUUGUUUAACAUUUUCAAAGGUUUUUUGGCAUUCAUCAUCCUAUACCCCAGGAUUAUGCUUUUUAAGAAGACGGAAUAUGGGGUCACACUUCUCAGUCAGCUGCGAAAUAAACCGUGCGAUAUAGUUUAGUCUCCCUAGGAAACCUCAGACUUCUUUCUGAGUUUGUGGCGGUGGCAGCUCUUGAAUAUCCUUGACUUUAUCAGGGUCGACUUCUAUUCCCUUCUCACUGACUACGAAGCCGAGUAACUUUUCGAACCUAGCUCCAAAGGUGCAUUUUGACGGAUUGAGGUUUAAUUGGAAUUUUCUCAACCUCAGGAACAAUUUUCUCAACACUCGCACAUGCUCCUCUUCAGUUCGGGAUUUUGCAAUCAUGUCCUCAACGUAGGCUUCAAUUUCCUUGUGCAUGAUGUCAUGAAACAAGGUUACCAUGACUCUUUGGUAUGUGGCUCCUGCAUUUUUCAACCCGAAGGGCAUCACCUUGUAGCAAAACGUUCCCCAUAAAGUUAUGAAUGUGGUUUUUUCCAUAUCCUCAAGAUGCAUCUUAAUCUGAUUGUACGCGGAGAACCCAUCCAUAAAGGAGAACAGUGAAUAGCCUGCCGUAUUAUCCACUAGAGUGUCUAUGUGAGGCAAUGGAAAGUUAUCCUUUGGGCUGGCUUUAUUUAAAUCUCUGUAAUCUACACACAUCCGUACUUUCCCAUAUUUCUUAGGGACAGGGACGACAUUGGCCACCCAUUCUGAAUAAUUGACCACCUGUAGGAAUCCAGCAUUAAACUGCUUCUUGACUUCUUCCUUUAUUUUUAUUGCUACAUCGGGUCUCAUCCUCCGGAGCUUCUGCUGAACUGGCUUACACUCCUUUUUUGUAGGGACACGGUGUACUGCGAUAUCGGUACUUAAACCAGGCAUAUCCUGAUAUGACCAUGCAAAGACGUCCUUGAAUUCUUGCAACAGCUCAAUAAGGUUCUGUCUUGUUUUCUCGUUAACGCAAGUGCCAAUUUUAACUUCCCUCCCCUUUUCCAGGGCCACAAUCUCAAUAGUCUCUUUGUGUGGCAGGAUCUGCUCCUCUUCUCGCUCCACCAUCCUUAACAAAUCGGGAGAUAAACCACAAUCCUUGUCCUCUUCAAAAUCCUGAAGUCCCUCAAAGCACAUGUCUCGCUCGAAAGGAAAUUUCGGGCUCGUAUCAGCAUUACUCAUGACGUUGACAUCUGGGGGCCUAUUAUGAGUAUAAGAGAAUACCCAAAAAAAAUAAGAUGAAUAAUUCCUUUGUAUGUUAUGAUUGUGUAUGAAAUAAAAAGGAAGAAAAAAUAAUUGCUCGAACUGAUAUAUGAAAAUGCAUUUUUUAUUGAAAAUAAUAAUGUUUGAACAUGAGCCUAUUUCACAAAAGAUUCUUAUUGUCCCUAGGCUAGAAGACAACAAGUGGGUUUUGAAUAUUACCCUGUGUUAGCUCUAAAGAUUACAGGAAUUUCUUCCACAGUCCAGUUAUUCAAAACACUCCCAGGCUCAUACGGGUAAAUGCCCGAUAAAUUCCUUUCCAUUGCUUCCUCUUAAAACGUGGCGUUGAUGUUCCAAAUUCCUAUCACAUCCUCGACCAUUCCUUCUUUUAUCCUCUCCGGUGCAGAAUGAAUAAACCCUCCGGAUACAAAUGUUUGGAAAAUAUGGGGGAAGCUCAUCGGUUCCCACCUGACUUCUGUCUCACUCAAUCUUGCUCUCCGCUGUUCCUGUUUCUUUUCAAACUCCUUCUUCACUUGGCUUGCAUCUGGCCUGAAUCCCAAACCGAAGCGAUCCCACUUGCCAACCAAGACUGGCAUUCUAACUUGUCCACGGAGGUGCCUUCCGAGUCCUUUGCUAGGUAAUGCCCCUUUCCCAACUGUCAGUUGCAGGCUCAUUUUCAUAGCCCCUGACAUCUUAGGUAUUGGAAUCCUGCUUCCUUCAGCUAUAAACAUUGCAUUUACAAACUCUAAUGAUCGAAAUGAACAUUCAACCGCUUCGUUGUCAUUCUCUACGUAGGGUGCAUCACUGGUAACUGACGCAAUAAUGUCCUCCUCCGCAUUUAUUGUUAUUAGCCGACCCUCAGUAACCAUCUUUAGCUUCUGGUGCAGCGAGGAUGGCACUGCCCUAGCUGAGUGAAUCCAAGGUCUUCCUAAUAGACAAUUAUAGGAAGGCUUAAUAUCCAUCACGAGGAAAUCUACCUCGUACGCAUUUGGGCCAAUCUGAAGAAGUACCUCUAUCCUUCCCAUUACUUUUCUUUCUGUGCCAUCAAAAGCUCUUACUAUGUUCUGACACGUCUUCAUAUGGGAAUUGUCUAUAGGUAAACGGUUUAACGUAGCCCAAGGUAACACAUUCAAUGCGGACCCAUUAUCAACUAGUACUCCGGGUAGCGUAUACCCCUUGCAACGUGUAGUGAUAUGCAGAGCCUUAGUAGACCCCCUACCCCCUAAUGGUAUCUCAUUAUCGCUGAAGGAGAUGAAAUUGUCAGCACUUAUGUUACCGACAAGAUGAUCCAGUUUAUUAAUCGAAAUGUCAUCCGCAACAUAGGUUUCGUUCAACACUUUCAUCAAUGCGUUGCGGUGGACUUCCAAAUUUAACAGCAGAGCCUAUAUCGAUAUGCGAUCCGGCUGUUGGUGUAGUUGUUCCACAACACUAUACUCGUUGUGUCUUAGGAACUUCAAGAACUCUUUGGCUUCAUUUUCCAUUACUGGCUCAUUAACCAGUGGUUCUGAUAUCUCUACUUCUUGCUUGAGCAUGACGAGUUUCCUUUUUGCUGGUUCAGCUUUUGUGUUUGGCGUGUUAAUCGAACCCUCCUUCUCUACAACUGCUAUACUACAAUUAUAAUUCCAAGGCACUCUAUGACUAUCUUUAUAAGGGGAAACUGUUGGCUUCUGGAUUAUAACUCUUGGUGUAACUCUUACUUCUACUUUACUAACUCUGGGCUUCGAAAUAAUUAUCACUGGACGGCUGGCUCUACAGCCUUCUUCACUCGACUCUUCUCCUAGAGAGCAUACAUCCUCCUCUUCGAUAGACUCGAGGAACUCCAAUUCCUUAUUAUCCAUUAGACCCUGUACUAGGGCCCUGAACUCAAUACAAUUCUAGAUCUCGUGAUCUUUCUCAUGAUGGAACUCACAGUAUUUCCAUGUAUCUUGGAUUUUAUCCCUUAACCCCUACGGGACUAAACCUCUCUUCUGCAUUUCCUACCAAACUAGCUUCAAUGGGGUUCUCACCUCCGCGAUAUUUAGCUUGACUUUCCUCCCCAUAUUCUCAAUUAUCGCGUUUACCCUUUUAUCAGUAUGUUUGGGCAACGGAUUUCCCGUACCAGGUGUAUCAUCAAAUUUUACAACACCUGCUUUGAUAAGCCUUUCUACACACCUUUUGAACGAGGUACAGUUUUCUAUCGAGUGCCCCGUAAUCCCCACGUGGUAUUCGCACUGAGUAUUUGCAUCAUACCGUUUAGGGUAUGGGGGUUGUAACGGUUCUAAGUGGAAAGGGGCCACUACGUGUGCAUCAAAUAACUUUUUGUAGAGCUCCCUAUACGUCACUGGUAUGGGAGUGAACUGGAACCUCUCUGUAUUCUGCCUUGUAUUAGGCUCUCGCCUUGGUGCGGCCUGUUGGCCUGUGACUAUCGUUCUCGAUUGGUUAACCGUGACAGGUUUUGAAUACCUUGAGCUCACAUUACCUACCUUAUUUUCUCUUUUCUUCGGGGCUGACCUUCUUGUGCUUUCUCCCAUUUCUAUCUUCCCACAUCUUAUCGCAUUUUCUAUUAUUUCGCCUGACGUCAUUAUGUCUGCGAAACUUUUAGUUGCGCUUCCCAGCAUAUGAUUGAUGAAAGGUGCCUUCAAUGUAUUGACAAACAGCAUGGUCGUUUCUUUUUCCAGUAGUGGUGGUUGAACUUGUGUGGCAACUUCCCUCACCUAUGGGCAUACUUCCUAAAACUUUCACCCGGUUUCUUCUCCAUGUUUUGUAACGUGAUCCUGUCAGGUGCGAUAUCCGUUACAUGGCCAUAUUGCUUCAUGAAGGCCUGAGCUAAGUCUUUCCAUGAUUUUGAUUUGGGUACAACUUAACUGAUUGUACCAUUUCGCCGCAGCCCCAAUCAAACUAUCUUAAAAACAGUGAAUCAACAGCUGAUCAUUGUUGACAUACCCCGUCAUUCUCUGGCAGAACAUUGUAAUGUGAGCCUCCGGGCAGCUGGUUCCAUUAUACCUUUCAAAUUCUGGCAUCUUGAAUUUCGGAGGGAGUACUAAGUCCGGUACCAAACUCAAUUCCUUAGCAUCAACCUCGCAAUAAUAAUCUGUACCUUCUAAUGCCUUGAACCUCUCUUCUAACCACUUGCAAUGGUCUUCGAACUGUUUUGGGAGCUCAGCCCUUGCUUUUUCAUUUUCUUCAACAUCGUCGAGGUCGGGGAUAGUUGGUUUUGCCAAAUUAUCACCCGGAUUAGAACUUGAGCCUGUUGGGAGAUUCCCCAGUGCUGAAGUACCAGAUUGAUACUAAGGUCUAAUAUUAACAGACACCUUGGGUGGUUGGGCACUUGCUGGGGCAAAUCCAGGAGGACAUGUGGAGUCUUCAUUGUCGUCCCCACUAUUACCCAUAGGGCCUUUUCCCUUGUCAGACCCCCCUUCAACAGCUGUGUUAGCUGGCUCAUCAUGUUGUUCUGUGACUCAGCAUGUUUUUCUGGGACUCUAGCAUUUGAUCCUUCAUCUCCUGCUGGAUCCUAGCCAGCUGUUCUUGCAUCUGAGCUUGCAGUUGCUCCUGUAUUUGUUCUAAUUUCUCUAACCUCUUAUCCAUAUCCCUUAUUUUCCUCCGUGUAUAGUAGCGAUGUUCCAGGGUAACUAGAUAAAUUAUUACUAAUUAAUAGGGUUCUUUUGUGUAACUUAAUGCAUAUGAUGCGAUGUGAUGUAAAUGUAUGAAAUGAAUGCAAAACUAAGAAGGCGUCAAUUCUGAUUCAAUUUCUUUUAAAAGAACUUUAUUGGAAAACAGAAAACUUUACAUAAAACGGGUUAUAUAUACGGCCUAGCCCUUAUGCCCAAAGUUUUAAUUCUCUCGAGAAGCCCAGCUAGCUCUCGACCUCGAUCUGACUCUAAUUCAUACUUUACACUUAACACGUCAACUUGAACUGCUAGAGUUUGCAAAUGCUCCGCUACCUCUCGAAUCUGAGCCACGGCCUCAUCCAUGAUGCGAUUUCUGUCCCUAACCUGGUUCUGAGAUCUAUGUAGCAGCUCUUUCCAAUGCUCAUUAUCUGACUCAAGAAGUUGAAUUUGAAGUUCACGGUUCUGAAGUUCGGUCUCAAGUUCUUCUAUCUUCCCUCUCAAAUCCUCAAUCCUGUUUAAGCUUGCCUUCAGCUCUACUGCAGAGUUGCGACUACGAGAUUGAUGAAGCGCCAUCUCUAACUACUCUACUUGAGCUCUUAACAUUUGUUUUUCAUUCUGGCUUUCAACCAAACUCUUUUUUAAAAUGCUCUCUCGUGCACAAGUAUCAUGAAAUCUUUUUUCCCAUUGUUCGGCUUUAGACCUUUCCUCUUGGACCUCUUAUCGCCAUUGCUCUGACGUCUUUCCCAGUCCAGCAUUUCUCAUUGACUUAUGUAGCUACCGGUAAUCGGUCUUCAAAGCGUCCAAGUCCUCAUCAGCUUUUCUUUUCCCUUUUCGCAGUUUCUCAGCCUCGAGUUUCUGAACGUCGAUAUCUAACCUUAGAUGCAUCAUCACUUCCUCCAACUAAUCUAUCUUCUUUCCUAACUCUGAAUUUCUCCUUUUGAAGUCUUGUUUUAUAAUUUCCAGCUCGGAAGGAAUGACUCGUAAGUGUUCUUCCAUCGAUUGGACGCCUUCUAGACUUGGCCUCGGAAUAUUAUCAUUGAUCCUCUUACUCAACCACCUACUGUACUCAGGAGUCGUCAUUGGGCAUCUAGUCAACUUCUUCAUUCGGGGUGUCUGUUUCCAGACAUCGGAGAUUUCUCGAACUCUCUUAUUAUAAUUAUCCCCUUUACACAAAAAUUCACUAUGAACAAACCCAUGUGUCGCAGGUACAAACUGCUCUAACUCAUACUGCCUUAACACCAACAAAGGGGCAUCCCCAACAACUUCCCAAACUCCAAGCAGAGGUACCCAGUCAAAAUUUCCUCACCGGUAGAGGACUUCAUCGGGAACCAUCCAAGGGGCCUUCCAUUCCACAUCUUUUUCUUGGAGAUUUUGGAGAAUUGUCAUCCACCUUUCUUCUGAUAUGUCGUCCCUCAUGGGCGUAGCUGCUAUCUCCUUCAAAGGGGAAUAAUUUUAAAAGAAAACUCGAUUCGGCCUUCUGUGAACUUUCCAGAAAUGGCCAUGGAACCAAACCAAUAAUAAUUGCGUGCAUCCCACGAAUCUUCCCUCACCUGCCCUUCGACACGCAUUUAAAGAUCUGAAUGUCUCUGCUAGAAUUGAUGGUACCGGUGUAGCCCGUUUGGCAAGCUGAUCAAAUAAAUCAGUGACGUCGAUAUGUCGUAACGCUUUGGGAAAGAUCACUAACCCAUAAAUGCUCAAGGCAAAAACGUCAACCUUCUUCUUUGCAUCUGGAUGUGCCAGGAUUAAGUCUCUCAAGUUCACCCAAUGAAUGCAUUUCCCCUCAACUUUUUGUUGAAUCCGGGCUGUAACCCACUGCUCACUCAUCCCAGUGACGUUCAUUAGCUUCUUUACAAAACUUGGUACAUUGGGGACCUUAACAUACACUCUGUCCGUUUGAAACCUUGGACAACGCAACAGGGCUGAAUACUCCUCCACGGUUGGCACCAAGUCUACUUUCCCGAAGGUGAAACAACUAUAUGCGGGGUUCCAAAACUGAUUCAUAGCUCGAAACAAGUACUUGUCUACCUUAAUGUCGAGCAUGUAAGGCAGAUCACCGUAGUUGUAGUAGAACAAUUUCUUGGUCUCAUCAUUCCAGUGGGCCCAUAUAUUCCUCAAUUCUUGGAGCUCAUUCUGUGUCACACUAAUACGGGUGAAGUCCUAUAAUUCCGACGCGUACCCCUUUGCCAGGCUAUCCCCUUUCUCGAGCUGAGCAUUCUCUGACCAUGCACGGACAACCGCAUUAUCCCCCACUUUAUCAAGAAGUCCGCUCUCCAUGACAAGCUCUCUAAGUUAGUAAUCGAACAGGUAUUGACACCUUCCUAAAUAUGAAAUGACAUGCAAUCAUGGCAAAAAUAAAACACAACAAGUUAGUAUCAAAUAAUAAAAAUCAAAGCAAGCAAGAAAUAAUCAAAAACCUAUUUGGGUAAUCACUAGAAUUUGGCAUAGCUCUACUUAGGGUAGGUCCCUAAGGGUUACUAUAUGCGGUUCAGUUCUAAGGAAAUGGUACCUGAACCAGCAGAUUCCUUGAUCUUCACCCAUUAUAGGCUCAUAUGGAUCGAGUUCAGUUCAGGGGGAUACAUUUCCCUAUGGCCAUGCGGAGGUGAAAACCUCACGAAACCAUAGGUACGGAUGUAUCUCGGAAGCGAUCCACUAGCCCAUGCAGAGGUGAAAACCUCACGAAGGCAUAGCUUUUCACUCCCACUUAAGGGUGCGACCACAACAAACAUGCAGUAUGAUGCAGGAAUAACAUAAGAGAAAAUAAAAAUGAUACUAACAAAUGUGACGGAAGAAAACAUAAUUUCAAAACACAAUUUCCAUUUUCGAAAAAAGGACAGAAAUUAAUCAAUUUUACGGCUUGACUCUCUUUAAGUCCCCAGUGGAGUCGCCAAGCUGUCGAAACCAUUUUUAAUUUUAAAACGUGUUUAAACCUUGCUUGAACUGUGUAUAAAUGUAACUGUCGAAACCAUUUUUAAUUUUAAAACGUGGAUUGACUUUAAAAAACAUGGAUGGAGUCGCCACCAAUUCUUUUUGAGGUGUAAUUGGGCCACCUUAUAAAGCAUUUUGGUCUACGAAUGUUAAGAAAAUAGGUUCGGGAAUCAAUUACGUACGAGGAAGGAUUAGCACCCUCGUAACGCCCAAAAUCGGCAUGAAGUCGAUUAAUAAUGUCCUUAUUGUUGAAAAUUUUAAGAGAUUUUAAAAUAUAAUUCUUUUAGAAAAUAUUUGAAUGGUUCGUUUUGGGAUAUUAAGGUUUAUUUUUCCAAAAGGACAAAAUGUCACACCCAGCACGUUAGGAUGCAACAUUUUAACCCUCAAGACCCAAAUAGUCCCUUAAUUUUCUGAAACCUGAGACUAGAAGGAUAUUUAGACAUUUGGAUGACCGAAAAAAACCACAAUCCAGCACGUUAGGGCACGACUCUUUUGGACUUCCAAACGCGAAACAUUGCCUUGUUUUAUAAGACUUUUGAAAACGAUCUAAAGUCAAUUAAAAAUGUAUUUAUUUAAUUUAUUUUUGAAAAAAAAAACUAAGAACUGGCUUAAGUGAGUUUAAAUUUGAGUCGUUAUACCAUACAAGGAAACAUGUAUGCCAUUGUGAAAUAUAUAACAAUAAUCUAAUGCAACAAUAUAAUACGACUAAAUCAUAACAUGAUCAGAAGAUAUGCAUAUAAAGUAAAAGACAUAAUUUAAAUUGAAUAUAUACGCAAAAUAACAUAAGAAAAUAUUUUGAAGACCGAGGUAUACUUUGAAAUGGGAUUUAAAAGAAACAAAUGUAUGAAUAAAAUAUAAUAUAUAUUUAUAUAUAUAUAUAAAAGAAUAUGGACAGCAAGCAAUAUGAAAUCAAUAAUAAUAUAUAGUAAGGAGUAAUAAAUAAUAAUAAUUUAGUAUAAAAUAACUGAUAAAAAAAAUGGUGUAUAUAAAAAAACAAUAUGAUAAGUCCAUUAAAGAAUAUAUUUGAAGGAAAAAAAAAGUUUUAGGGAAAAGAAUGUAUAUAUAUAAGUUAUAAGUGACAAAAAAAUGGUAGUAAAUAGUAAAAAUAAUGAAGAAAAUAAGAAGUAUAAUAAACUAUAUUUAAAAUUAUGAGCCUAAAAAAAACUAAAUAGUAUAAAAAUGCUUAUUAGUAAAAAAAAUAUAACAAAUAAUAUAAUAAAUAUGAUGAAAAUUUAUACAUAAAAUAAUUAACUUUGCUAAAAAAAACCUAUAAUAAGCAUAUAACAUAAAAUGAUAUAAUAAUGUAAAACAUAACUCAAACAAAUUAAAUUAACAGAGAAAAAAAAAUGAAAAUAAGGCUCAAAUUAAUUAAGUCAGCGGUAAAAUGACAAAAGAGCAAGGAAAAAAAGGUUAAAUUGCAGUGAAACGGGAGUUUCGGGGCGAACUUUAGAAAAAAAAAAGCCACAUGGGCUAAAAUGAACGUACGGGCUAAGAGGGAGGACCAGGAAAGCAAAUUUCCUCAUACUUCAAAGCGCAGUGUUUUGGUAUAGGACGAAAAAGCGAUAAAAUCCAAGUUUUUGGGCCAAAUCGUAAUUAGCCAAAGUUCAAAAGGGUCCAAAUUAAAAGCUAGAGUAACAGGGAGGGAUCAAUUGCAAAAUAACCCUCCCCAAAAAAUCAAGGCACCAAACGGUGCUACUUUAUAAACUUAUAAAGCAAAAAGAAACCCCCUUUUUGCCUUGCUAAAGAUUUAACCAAGUUUAGCACCGUAUCUGAGGGUCAUCGGCGCCAUGCACCUCUGCCUCUAUCGGCGCUUCACGGAGCAAAAUCGGGUAAGCCUUCUUCUUUUGGUUUUAUUCAAAAUCGAUUUAUCAAAAUAUGAAAGAACAAAAAGAAAUAAAAAGGGAAGGAAAAAAAAGUCUUGUAAAAGAAUGAAAAGUAACCUCUUAAACCUUAAAUCUCACUUUGAUUGCUAUUGCUUGUUCUCUUUGUAUUCAGGGAAAAAAAACCGUUUCCAAAUAUAUUGUUUAUCUUAGGCUUUAUAGCCUUGUUUUACAAUUGUUUUUGCUGUAGGCAAGGCUGACGUGGGAGCCGUGGGUGCGAGGGAGUCGGGGGCACAAGGCGUGUUGGACGUAAGUGUCGACGUGGUGCGCAAGAUCUGGCUGCUGGGAACUGCUUGCGGUUGCUACUCCUUAGGUUAGGAUUUCCCAUUUUUGCUUUAUUGGUUUUGGGUUUGUUUAGUGGGUUUGUAUUUGUAUUGGGCUAAGUUUUGUUUUAGUGGUUAAUUUGUUUAGGCCUAGGUUUGGGUUUGUUUAAAAAUUUGGUCCUACAAUAACCUUAUAAUUCAUAUUUAUAUUUUAUUAAUUAUUUAAUAUUUCAACAGAAGUCAACGAUUUUUAAUAUAUUUGUGGCAAACAAUAUAUUAAUUAAUUAAGGUUGAAGCUCUAAAUUUCAACACAAGCAUGGGUUAGAGUUAGAAGUCAAUGAGUUUUAUAUAGUUGUGGAAAGAAACAUGAUUUAAUUAAAAUGAGUGCAACAUUUGAACUAAUACUAAAAGAGUACAUUGUGCACUGAUAGGAAUAAGUGAAAGCAAGCAACAAGAUUCAUGACACCCACUGCUGCAUUAAAAAUUAAUUUUAUUUUAGUCAAAUAUUAUUUUUUUGUUAUUGAAAUUCAACGCCAUUGUUUAAGGAGUGGUUUCUUGAAGCAUGAGAUAAUUCUUAAGUUUAAUGUUGGAAAUGUAUUUGGUGUUAUUUACAAUAAAAGUUGUAUCUCUUGAUUCUAUUAAGAGCUCGAGUGUGAUGUUAGAAGUAAGAUGAAUUUGAUGAACGAGUUAUUAAAAAAUUAUUAAUGUCUAAAUUUAAAUUUAUCUUAAAAGGUGUUGUUUAAAUUUAUUCUAUUAUAGAUUUAAAUAUAUAUUUGCUUUUUGUCCAUGUAUUGUAAUGAAUAAAUUCUAGUCGUAUUUGUUAUUCGAACUUUACCCUCUUAUUAUAAUUUAUCGACAAAAUUGAGAGAAGAAAUAUUUAAAAAUCUUAGCUCAAAUAUUUUUCAGAAUUGUAUGUAAAAAGAUAAAAAUACUCUAUUUGUUAUUUGUUGUUUUAUAGUUUUGGUAAUUUGUUUUAUACAAAUUCAAGGAGGAUUUGAAACUGGAUUGAAAGUCAAAGUUUUAGAUAAUUAAUGGAGAAUGGCUGUGGUGGGAGAGAGUCAAAUGAAAUUAAGUUUUAUUUAUUGAAAUUCAACGGAGGGGGAUCGUGAAGCAUGCGAUAAUUUUUAAGUUUAUUUAUUUAUUUAUUUCUGGAUUAAUUUAAUUAUAUUGGGUUUAGGGUUUGGGAAAGUCAUAUUUUCUCCAUUUUUUAAUUGAAAGCCCGCUACAAAAUCUCUUUGAAUCUAUCUUCUCUAUAUUUUAUUUCAAGCCGGCGAUAAAUAUAAACAAUAGUAUUUAAGUAACCCAUAAGCGUAACCGAAGAGUUUCUUGACCAUUCCAUAUAUGUUUUUAUAUUUUUGAGAUUUUUUAAGUUUAGGCUAAUUUUAAAUUUCAAAAUUUGAGAAUUAUCCCUUUUUCUUAUUUUAUGAAAAUAAGAAACUAAACCCAACUUGAAUAACUGAUUUUUAUAAAUUUGUAGAAUAUAAAAUGUUAAAUUAUUGGUUUUAUUAAUUCUUUCUAUAUAAAUGAUCGAAUUGCUUAAUUCUAAAUUAGUGGUUUAAUAAUUAAUUUUACCAAAUUUAUAUAAUUAGACUAGUUUCUCAAUUUUUAUUUAGUACCAAAAUUAAAGUAAAGUGAUUAAUUCUUUUUUUUUUUUUUAAAGUAGAAGGAUAAAAUUUUGAAAUAAACUCUUUUACUUUAUCGAGAGUUGAUAUCACAAUUAACCCUCCAACUUUCAUCCAAUGUGUAGUAUAAACCUAUAAAAAAAAAAUCUAAUUUAGUAAAUACAUGUAUCAAUCUACCCAUGUAAGUAAUGGGUUUUCUCUUUUAUGAUGACAGAAACAACCAAAGUUCAUCAACUUGCAAUAUUUGUAUGGUCAUUAUAUAUCUUAUAAAAUAUAAAUAAAUAAAAAGGGGGAAGAUAUAUGAGAAUCCGAGGGAUGGAUGCUACUAUCACUACUCCUUGAAAGCACAAAACAAAUAUCCCAAAAUUCCUUUUAUGUUGAAAGCUUUUUUGCAACUUCAAAAACCAUCUAAGUAAUUUUUCUUUAAAGCUUAAAAUAUGAACUUUGCUUGCAUUUUAGUUAAUUAAUUAGUGAAAAGAAGGUUUCUUUUGGGCGUAAAGUUUCUUUUAACAUAUACUAAUGACUCAUAUUUUUAUUUCCUUCAAAAUUAAGAUAAAGGGAAUCUUGGUUCCCAGUUCCCAUUAAUUUUUUUUUUUGAUGAUUCGUUCGUCAAUUCAUGAUGACAAUAUUUUGCUUUCAAGUGGUAGGCAACUAGUUUGCUUUGUUCUAGUCGUUUGAAAUUGUUGAAAUGAGAUAGGAGUAGAUAUAAAAAUCCAAACUCAAAAAAUCACUUAAAUAAAUAAUAAAUUUACAUUUCGUCACAAUAUAUAAAAUUAUAUUAUUAAUUAACUUCAUUUUUCUCUUAAUAUUUUGGAUGGUGGUGCUUUGGACCAUUGCACAAAAUGGGAAAUGCCUCACUUCAAAUUAAUUCAUUCCAUAUACGUAAAGUUGUCCAAGUUGAGGUUGCAAUUUCUUAGAUCACUCUUGUCUUGUCGAUGAAUUUUAACUUCCAAUGCACUAAUAAUGUAAUUUUUUUUAGAAAUUGUAUAUGAUAUGAUAUUAUAUGGUCCAUUAAUAAUAAUAAUAAUAAUAAUAAUAAUAAUAAUAAUAAUAAUAAUAAUAAUAAUAAUAAAAGAGAUAAAAAGGCUCUUUUUGCAUUUUUGCAAUCAAUUUUGACAAUCUAAAUUCAAAUUGUAAUAUGAACACAUUGAUUUGCCUAAUCUAUUUUGUUGGGGUUAAUGUUUUGAAUGGAUUAAAUAAUUUCCAAUUAAUGUACUUGCAUUCCAACAAGCCUGUUUAUUGUGUUUUUCCCCUUGCUUUUCCACAUUGUUUAUUAAGUACUUGUUCAAAGGCGGCACAUUUUUUAUUUGCUUAAAUCAUGCUUUGUAUUGGACCAAAAUUCCUUCAUUUUAAUAUUUGUGGAGUUGCUCAAACAAAUUGUGGUGGUGACCCCGGGGGGGGGGGUAUAAAUUACAUUAAGAAUUUGACUUACCUCUUCAUAUCAUCAGAUUAUUACAAGAAAGAUUGAGGCAUUAUGUCAUGCAAGUUGAUUGGAAACCGUAGAAAAUCUGUCCUAAAUGAAUUUUAUUUUAAGAAAUUCAGUUAUUUAAUCUUUAUUUGGUGGAUUAAUUGCAACAUCUUUAAUAUAGGAUUUAUAUUCUAAAUUAAAGUCUGAACUUCAAAAUAGUCUAAUUUAAUUAUCAAAGUAUCAGUAUUAUAUUAACUUCAUUCGUCAAUCGAGUCGUCAACUUGAACGUUAAUUGUUAGCUUAGAUCAAUGUGAAGCUAUUUAAUAUACAUAUAUGCACCUACUACACGAAUAACGUAAAUAUGACUUAUUAAAAAAGACAGUUACAUUAGAAGUUUUUAACAUUCAUGUUUUAAAACAUUUUAAUUGAUAUAAUUUUGAUACUUUAAAUUCUUAAAUCAAAUUUAAAAAAUAUAAUUUAAAGACAUUCAAUUUGGUGAUGGUAGAUUAUUUAGGUGCAUGUUUUUGGAACAUUUCAUUUGUUUCAACUUUCAAAGAUAUUGUGCUGUGCGUAAUCAGAUAUUCUGAUGCAAAAAUCGUUUUGAAAACGAGAUGAUUUUUUUUCCAUUGUUAUCUAAAAGAAAAACAGCAACUUCAAGAGUUUAUUUUUUUUUAAAAUCUUAAUAUAAUAAGAAAAUGAUUGUGGGAUUGGAUGGUUAUUCACCAGAUUUGAUUAUAGAUUUCGUGGGAGAUCAAUCUUGUUUGUUAAGGUUGAAAACAGCCGCAAAGGAUAUUGUAGUCGAAUAUUGGAGCUCAGAAUCUUAUGCCAUCACUUGCUUUUUUUGGUUUUUCUUAAUGACAACAAAUACAAAUAGCCAUUAACGCAGAGACAUUAAUAAACAUAUUAAUUUAUAUAAUUCUUGUGUUUAAUUUAGUUUAUUUCUGAAUUAAUUCCUGCUUAAUUGGUGUUUUUAUGAUUUAAUCUUGUCAGGGAUGCAAUUGGUUAAAAACGAGUAAAAAUGGACCAAAUUAAAAGACAAAUCGUUGAGUUGAGGCCAAAUAAAAAAGAUGGGGAAAGCCAAGGAUUUAACAUAAAUUUUGACUUUGUAAAAAGCUAAAAAUAGAAGAUAUUAUUUUGUUUUAUUUAGUUUUAUUAUUUAUUUUUAUUUUAUUUUAUUAAUUUAGAAUUAGACUAUUUUUAGUAAACCCCAUGUAUAUAACUAGGGACUUUUAGUUCUUAGAAAAAUCAUCCUUUAAUUUGUAUUCCUACUUCUACUUGGAAUAGAGUUGCUCUCUCUCUUGUAUUUCCUUUUUCAAUUUGGAGUUGGAAUAUCAUUUUUUUUUCUCUUCAAUUUGACGUUUUAUUUUGUAGCAUUGUCUCCAAUUUUUGUUUCUUUUCCAUAAUUGGGCCAAUUGCUCUACAAGUCCUUUCCAUUCAUUUCUUCACCAUAAUCCCCAAAUUUCUCUCCAAGCUCAUAAAGCAUGAACAAUUUCAUGCUUAACUAAAUUCUAACUUAGCUUUAGGCCGGUGUUCUUUCCGGUCGAGAAUUGUGAGAUUCGUACUCGCACCUAAAAUCCUUCCAAUCAGUAUUAAUCUUUUUCCUAAGUAUCGAGAUUGACAACUCAUCCCUUAAGGAUAAUUCGAUUUCAAAUACAAAAAGAGCUCGUUGGGUUGGAGUCGUGUUUUCUGACAGUUGGAGAAACGAAUCGGCCGUGCUGUAUUUGGAUCUCCGAGAACAAAUCGAGGAAGAGGUGAUCAGGUUUAAACGACCCACGCGGUUGAGGCCGUUAAUUCGAGUUGGGUUGUUCAGAACGCAAGGCUACUGAAGUCUUGAAUCGGGAACACGUGUAUCUCGGUUAGACUAUCGGUAAGGGUUGGUUUGCAGGACGUUCUGGGACCAGCUACGAGAGGAAAAAUUGGUGGUUAGGACGUUCUUAAUCACUAUAACCAGCUUAUCGUUUGAAGGAGAAGAUCAAUUUUCGAGGAUCGAUUCUUAACAUGGAAUUUAUCAAGUCUAAGGCUAAGGCUCAUUAUAUUUGAUUGCAAAUUCGAAUUUAUUUUCUGAUUUAUUUAAUUAUUUAUCUUAGCUGUUUUAAUUAUUUAAUUUCUAAUCAAUUUCAAAAUCCCCCGCUUUACUUAUUUAUUUGCUUAUUUUUCAGCUGGUACGUUUUGAGUCGUGGGCACGACUCUAGCCACGACCCUUGACAUGACAUUCUGUUCAUAAGCCAAACUCGAAAGUUGAUUAGAGUACCAAUCCCUGUGGACUCGACCCUACUACCACUCUGACUACUAUUUAGAGUAUUUAGUAGGAAUUAUUUUUGGUGGAUUCGACGCCCAUCAAAUUUUGGCGCCGUUGCCGGGGAUUGGAGAUAUUUUCUAACUUUUAUUUGUCUACCUUAUGACCAGAUCAAACCGGGAAAUCUAGAGUUUGAGCCUGAAAUUGAGAAAUUGGCCCGACAACUAUGAAGAGAAGCCAUACGACGUGGUAAAUGGCCAAAUCCCGGAUUUGAAACUAUAUCUUACACCGAAGAAUUUUUUGACAAACCAGACGAGAUGGUUGAACAAACUAUACGCCAGCUCACAGCGGCACCGGAUGAACAACAACCCUUAUGUAUAACCUAUCCGGCAGGAGGAACGCCGUUUGAGCUAAAGUCUGGUUUGAUCCACCUAUUGCCCACUUUUCAUGGACUACAAAAUGAAAAUCCGCACACCCACCUUAAGGAGUUCUAUAUGGUGUGCACAAGCAUGAAGCCUCAGGGAGUAACAGAAGACCAAAUCAAACUUCGUGCUUUUCCGUUCCCAUUAGCUGACUCUGCUAGGGAGUGGCUAUUGUAUUUGCCUCCGGGAUCUGUCAACAUAUGGUCUGACAUGUCUCGUUUGUUUCUUGACAGGUUCUUCCCUGCAGCCCGGGUGGCCGAACUAAGGAGGGACAUCGUAGGAAUCCGUCAGAAGGACACUGAAUCGCUCUACGAUUACUGGGAGCGAUACAAAAAGUUGUGUGCGAGCUGCCUACAACAUAGACUGACUGAGUAGUCACUCUUGCAGUAUUUUUAUGAAGGUUUACUGCCGAUGGAAAUGAAAAUGAUAGAUGCUGCAAGUGAAGGGGCACUAGUCAACAUGACGCCUCAAAAAGCGAGACAGUUGAUUUCAACCAUGGCUGCCAACUCUCAAUAGUUCCGACCGAUUACAGAACCCACGAGACAGGUUCAUGGGUUAAGUUCUUUGUCUCUAGAAGAUAAGAUUGAUAAGAUGACUAAUGUUGUUCAAACUUUGUUUUCCGAUAAAACAGACCCAGCUCGGUUAUGUGAAAUUUGCGCCAAGCUAGACCACCCAACGUACUCAUGCCCGAUUUUACAGGAGGAUUCGAUAGAACAAGUGAAUGCUGUUGGGAACUUUCUAGGACCGCCCCAAAGACGGUAUGACCCCUACUCGAACUCAUAUAAUGUGGGGUGGAAAGAUCAUCCGAAUCUCAGUUAUGGAAUGAAUCCACGAUUCAAUUAGCCAUUUCAACAGAGGCUGCCGCAGAAUCAACAGAUACCACCCCCAAAGUCAUCUUUGGAAGCCAUAGUAGAAAGGUUAGCCAACAGUAUUGAGAAAUUCCAACAAAAAAUUGACAUGCAUUUGCAGGAAUUGGACAAGCAAGUGAGCAAAAUCACGUUCACGGUUAGUCGUUUGGAGUCCCAAGGUAAGUUGCCAUCCCAGACUGAGCCAAAUCAUUGACACAAUGCAAGCGCUAUGACGCUAAGAAGUGGGAAGGUUUUGUAACGAAUACCUGACACAAAUCGUGGCCACGACACUAGUCGCGCCUACGACACUAGUCAAGAUAGGGAGAAACUUGACGCAUAGGCUCCAGUAAAGUCAGUAGCACAAAACUCAUUUGCAGUUCACCUCCGUUUCCCGGAAGACUUGUUCAGUGCAGGAAGGAGCGAGACAAGAAGGAGAUCCUCGACACCUUUUGAAAGGUGGAAAUCAACAUACCUCUUUUCAAUGCAAUUAAGCAGAUCCCACGAUACGCAAAAUUCCUAAAAGAAUUAUGCACAAGUAAAAGGAAACUUUUGGGAAAUGAAAAGGCAAGUGUCGGAGAAAAUGUCUCCGCUGUUCUGCAACAGAAAAUACCGUCCAAAUGUAAGGACCAAUGUAUGUUUUUCAUAUCUUGUAAAAUAGGUAGUGUUGGUAUUAAAAAAGCAAUGUGUGAUUUAGGCGCAUCAAUUAAUGUUAUGCCUUUGUCAAUUUAUAAACUACUUAACGCAGGUCCUUUAAAGGAAACAGGUCUGAUAAUCCAGCUUACAGAUAGAUCUAUGGUACAUCCGGAGGGAGUAUUAGAGGACGUUCUUGACAAGGUAAACGAGCUAAUAUUUCCUGCAAACUUCUACAUUAUCGACAUGGAGGAUGACAAUUCGGCUAAUGCAUCAGACAUACUUCUCGGAAGGCCAUUUUUGAGUACCGCACAAAUGAAGAUUGACGUAAGAAGUGGGAUACUCACUGUGGAGUUCGAUGGGGAAGUAGUGAAAUUCAAUGUCUAUGACGCCAUGAACUAUCUUAGCAUGAUUUCUAAUGUUUCUAGCGUUGAUAUUAUUGAUCUUUUAAUCGAAUUACAUUUGGAAUAUCAUGACGAGGAUGAAUUACGAACUGUCCUUUGCAAGAGUUUAGACUUUGACACCAUUAAUGAACUGGAGGAGUGGAUAACAAUUGAAGAUUCUGUUUACGAAACAGUAGCUCAUAAGGAGCCAUCGCAACUACUGAAAGCUUUAGGUAAAACUUUUGAGUUAUCUCCCUCACAAACUAAGCUUGUACCGUCUGUAUUGCAGGCUCUGGAGUUAGAACUCAAACCACUCCCAGACCAUUUGAAGUAUGCUUUUCUCGGUGAAGGAAAUACACUACCAGUAAUAAUCUUGAGUAAACUCUCGAGGGUAGAAGAGGAAAACUUGGUGCAAAUUCUUAGGAACUAUAAAGAGGUAAUUGGAUGGACGAUAUUCGACAUCAAGGGAUUGAGUCCCUCGACUUGCAUGCACAAAAUCCAGGUUGUCGAUAAUGCUAUUCCUAAAAGGGAGGCUCAAAGGCGUCUCAACCCGCCUAUGAUAGAAGCUGUGACACCCCUAAAUUGACCCUAUUCGGAAAGCAGUUUCGGGACUGCUAAACCGAGUCACCAAAUUAUUUGAAUAUGAUAUUUAUUGUCUAAAAUAUGUGAAUAUGAAUGUGAGAAAGUUUUAAGCUUCGAUUUAGUCGACUUCAUGUGAAUUCAGCUAAUAGGACUUAUGUGUGACACUUUUGAAAUGUGAUAGGUUAAUCUAUAGGAUCUAUUAGUGCAUGUAAUAAAAGGGUGGACUUGCAUGUCAAUUUCCCCCUUAAUUUAGUAGUGGCCGGCCAUGACAAGGAAGGAGGACAAAAUGUUAUGGGCAAAACAUGUCAUAAACAUGUUAUGUUAGUGAUUUAUGUUAGGAAAAAUAAAAUAAGGAGUAUGGGUAAUAAAAUAAUAAUGCAAAGGGAGGAGUGAUGAAAAAAAAAUUGUCUCAUCCAUGUUCCCCCCUCCAUUGUCGUGAAUUGAAGGAAGAAAACAAAAGAAAAAAAAAUGUUCAUCUUCUUCUCCUACCUCUCUCAAGCCGAAACUAACCAAGAAAUGGAAGAAAGCACACCUAAGGCAUUCGGCCAUCUUGUGUGGGGGGAAUUAAGGUAUGAUAUCAUGUGAUUCUUUUGGAAUUUUUGUGAAGUUGAGUUUGUUUUGGUGCUCAUAACAUGACCCAUGUGUUAAUUUUUGAGUUUGUGUUGCAAGAAACAUUUGGUUAUGUCCUUAUAUGUCAAAUUGAUGAUAAAUUUUUGAUAUUUGGUGAAUGAAUAUGGGUUUCGGUCAUGGUAGAUAACAAAGAAUGUGGUUGUUGUUCUUGUUAAUUUGGAUGAAUUUUUGGUGGAUAGGUGCUUGAAUCAAACAAAUGAUCAUGUGUGUACACUAGGUGCUAGUUGAGAAGAAUCGGUCACUAUAUUGGAGGCCAUUGCGAAUAUGAGUUUAGUUAUUGAGUUGAUGGAAUAAAAGAAUGCUUAAAGAUGUGUUACAACAAAUUAUAUGUUAAGCUAAGGUUGUUAAAUUAUCAAUCUUUCUUCCUAGCCGAAUAUGUGUUUAUAAAGUUGAGUUGUUAAAUAGAUUUUGAAGUUAGCCCAUGCAUUUAUUUUUGAAUUUAAGAAGAAUGAUACAUUCGACUAUGCUUUGAUGUGCUUGGAUUGUUGUUCAUUGAGUAAAUGAUUGAGGAAUGGUUAGAAGAAUUUGAAUGCUAAACUAGUUGAUUUGUUUGAUGAUAUAUAUAUGUAUUCGGCAAUGGGAUAAAAUGUGUAUUAAGGUAAGUUUCAUGGUGAUUAUGCUUGUGAUGUUGGGUUAAUAUUCGGCAUUGAGUAAUGUGGGGUAAGGUGAUUAAUUGGCUAUGAAAUUAGCUAAAUUGAAUAGGUAUGUUUAAUAAUAUGCUUAGUAUAAUGUAUGAUCUUAUAACUCGGUUUGGUAUUGAGAUAAAGGUUAGAUGUAUGAUUGGAUUUUGGUAUGUGUUAAAUUGGUCAAUCAAAGAUUAAAUGAUAUGUGAUUGCCAAAUGUGAUUGUUAAGUGAAUAAUAUUAGUUAAGUACUUAAGCAAAUCUAUUGUUUUACUUAAGCUUAAGAGCAAAGAGGAUCAAAGUCGGAUAGGGGAAAAGAGAAAGUAAACGAAUAGCCGUGGACAUCUAAUCGUCGACCACUUCCGAGGUAAGUUUUAAGUGAUUAAGCAUUGAAUAAAUUCAAUCAUAAUAGGACAUAAUGAGUUGAUUUAAUAAGAUAUGAUGUGGCCAUGAUAGGUCUUAAACUCAAAUGGUAAGUUCAUAAGUGUUUGGACUUGGAAAUUUAAGAGCAAAUUGUAAUAAUUUGCUUGGACAGCAGCAGUAAUGUGACUUUAGAAAAUCACUAUAAAUUGUUGGUGUGGAAUUAUAGGCUGAAUAAAAUAUGUAAUCAAAUCUUAGUUGGUCUAGUUUCUUAUAAAAGAGACCGUGGAAGCAAAGAAAUUUCCUAUAAAGAGAUAUUUAAAGUUGUGUGAGACGGUGUCAGAAUGACUCCGAAAUCCCCUGUUCGGUUUUUAGAAAAUCAUUAUAAAUUGUACAAAAAUGGUUAUAAGAUAAAAUUUAUAUGCUUAGACUCCUUAAUGAGUCUAGUUUCAAAUUAAAUCAAAUACAACACAUUUUGAAUUCUGUAAAAUGAGAAAUUUGAUUCGUAGUGAAGAGUGGUCAGAUUAGUCAAAUAGUGAAACAGGGGAAACUUUAAGAAAAAUCUGGUAUUUAUUGGCCAAACCAAAAAUUCUGGAAAUUUUAUGGAUGGAAGAUAUACGAGUCUAUAUUCAGGAAAAAUUAACGGAAAGUGAUUUGGAGUUUUGUAGCUCCAGUUAUAAAUAAUUUAGUGACUAUUGCUCAGGAAAAACAGCUUGUGCUGAAUUUGAGAUUAUGUUGUAAACCUUGAUAAACUUGUUUUAGUUGCUCAUAAGCUAUUGAUUAAACCCAUACGUGAAUUCUAAAUUGUGAUAUUGGAAAAUGAUAGAUGUAGAUUCAGCCAAGACAGUGUGUAUACGUGAAAGUAUAUGUGGUAUGUGAAGUAUAUUUGGAUAAUUGUGAUGUGAAUACAUGAAAAUUUAUAUUUUGAUUUAGGAUUUUAUGUGAUGGAUGUGAACAUGCGUAUGUGUGAUAAGGCCGAAUGGCCAAUGUGAUGAAUGUGAACCCGUAUAUAUAUGUGUGAUAAGGCCGAAUGGCCAAUGUGAUGAAUGUGAACAUGCGUAUGUGUGAUAAGGCCGAAUGGCCACUGUGAUGGAUGUGAACAUGCGUAUGUGUGAUAAGGCCGAAUGGCCAAUGUGAUGAAUGUGAACCCGUAUAUAUAUGUGUGAUAAGGCCGAAUGGCCAAUGUGAUGAAUGUGAACAUGCGUAUGUGUGAUAAGGCCGAAUGGCCAAUGUGAUGAAUGUGAACAUGCGUAUGUGUGAUAAGGCCAAAUGGCCAAUGUGAUGAAUGUGAACAUGCGUAUAUGAGAUAAGGCCGAAUGGCCAAUGUGAUGAAUGUGAACAUGAAUAUAUGUGGUAAGGCCGAAUGGCUAAUGCGAAAUGUGUAUGAGAUGGAUAUGUGGUAAAGCCAAAUAGCUAAUGUGAGAUAUGUACGAGAUGUGUAUAUAUAUAUUGUGGCCAAAUGACAAACGGUGAAAGGUGUGUAUUAUUAGAUUUUUGGAUGAGGCAAAUGAAUUACAAAUAUGACAGUCGAUGUGAAUGUUGUAACAUGUGAUUAAAUGUACAUGAAACUUGGAAAUAUAUUCCGGGUAAGACCCGAUGACUACGUGUGGAGAUUAUGUCCGGGUAAGACCCGAUGACUACGUGUGGAGAUUAAGACCCGAUGACUACGUGUGGAGAUUAUGUCCGGGUAAGACCCGAUGACUACGUGUGGAGAUUAUGUCCGGGUAAGACCCGAUAACUUCAUGUGGAGAUUUCGUCUGAGCUAAAGGUCUCGCCGAUAAUCCGAGUAGAGGUUAGAGCUAUAAGACUUCGUAAUAAGAAUUGCAUAUAAAUAUAUUCAAUGCGAAAGGUUAAACAGGUAUGUACUCCAAGUUUAUAUGUGAGCUUGAUUUGAACUAAAUCAUAAGGUAGUUAUGUGAUGCAUAUGAGAGCAAUCUAUGAGACUAUUCCUAUGAUUAUGUGACUUCGGAUCAGUGUGAGAGGAUAUGUGAAAUCAUACAAUAUAUCUAUGUCACAUGAGCUCACUUUUAUGUGAGAGUUUAUCUGCCUAUUGUAUAUGAUGAGAUGUGCAUAUUCGGUAAAGGGAUGGUAUGCCCGAAGGAAGAGUGAAAUAAAAAAUAUGAACAACUAUGUUAUAAUUUGAUUGUUAUCUGUUGUCACUGCUUAAAACUUACUAAGCAUUGUAAUGCUUACUCCGUUUACUUUGUUUUCUCUAUUUUAUAGAUCUCAUUGCGAAGCUACAGGCUCGGGGAUUGUCAGCAACUAGUCACACUAUCACUAUCCACUGCUUGUUACUGUUAUGUUUAGAAUUAUUUUAUGGCAUGUAUAGAAUAGACUAGUGGCGGAAGAAUAUUUUUGGUUAAUGUAUAUAAGCCAUGCGAAAAUGACAUCUUUUGAAUGUUUACUUAGAGAAGUUUAAAUUUUAUCCCUGGCUGUGCUUAGUACUUAUCUAAAGGAAUGUUCAAAAAAAUUUUUUUUUACUGUUCUGACAUGAGUUACAAGUCCGGUAAUGCCCCUUACCUAUUCCAGCGACGGUUAUGAGAUAGGGGUGUUACAGAAGCGGUGAGAAAAGAGGUCCAAAAGCUAUUUGAUGCCGGGAUGAUCUAUAAUAGCCCAAAAUUGGGUGUAGUUCGAACAGAGGUUUCGGGAAGAUAGAAAUAAUUAUUUUAUGAUUAUUUUGAGGUCUAUGAUAUGAUUGCAUGAUUGUGUAAAAAUUUCGUGAAGAAAUUCUAUGCAUAAAGUGCUCAAUUUGAAGUUAGGGACUAAAUUGAAUAAGUUGCAAAACUUGUAUUCUAGAAGUUUCUAGUAUGAAAUUGCUUUGAAAUAUUAAUUAUGAGGUUUUAAAUAGAAAUUUUACCAAUUUCUAAGUGAUGGACAAAAAUUAGACAUAGAUGGAAUUUUUGAAAGUUUGUAAGGAAGGGCAUUUUGGUCAUUUGGUAAUUAAAAGAAAUAAAAAGGGAAAAUAAAGCCAAAAUUGACUCAUCUUUCUCAUGGAGGCCGAAAUUAGCAUGGAGGAAGCCAUGGCUAGGGUUUUCAAGAUUUCCAAGCUCAAUAGUAAGUCCGUUAUAACCCCGUUUUUCAAGUUCUUUACGUUUUUGGAAUCCCGGUAAUUUGAUUAAGCUUAUUCUAGCAAUAAUUUAAGCUAGGGUUCAUAUUUGGAAAAAUACCCAUAGGUGAAAUGUGUUUAUUUUGCUGUUUUAUAAUAGAAUAUAAGGUUUUAAAAUGUUAGAUAAAUUGUGCUACUCGGUUUUGAGUGAAAACGAGCAAAAGGGCUUAAUCGGUAAAAAUACCCAAUAGUCAUAAGUAUAUGUUAGAGUGAGAAUUUGAUGUUGCCAUAGAAGGGAAAAGUGACCAGCAUACCAUAAAACAUAAAAAUAAGGGAUGAAGUUUAAUUUCGAGUGUAACACCCCGUACCCGAGUCCGUCGUCGGAGUCGGACACGAGGGGUUUGCAGACUUAAAUCUCUUCUUUGCACAAUCCAUUUUAAAUUUUCCAUGCAAGCUGGCUAACUGCGUCACUGUCACCUUAAAAAUCAUAUCUUGAGCUUCACAACUUGAAAAUCAGCUUCGUGAUUUUUCCCUGAAACUAGACUCGUAUAUGCAUCUACAAAUUUUUUUCUAAAAUUUUUGGUUGGGCCAAUUAGUACAGUUUAUUAGUCAAAGUCUCCCAUGUUACAGGGAUCGACUACACUGACCUUUGCGCAUUACGACUUGGAUAUCUCCCUGUACAGGGCUUCAAUACUAAUGUCGUUUGUUUCUAUAUAAACUAUACUCAAAAAAGAAUCUAUGCAUAUAUGGCAUGACUUCUAAUUAUCUCUGGUUAAUUUAUAAUGAAUUUCCAAAGUCAGAACAGGGAAUCAAUAAACUGUUCUGGCCCUAUCUCACGAGAACCUGAAUAUCUCUUAACAUACUAUCCAUAUGAUCGUUUCGUUACUUUUCUAUGAAAAUAUAUUCAUCAAGGUUAAUUUACAUAAUUUAUUCACUAUUUAAUUCAAUUUCUAAUAUUUUUAGUGAUUUUUCACAUCCACAUCACUGCUGCUGCCAGCAUCUAUUUUUUUAAGGUAAACUUUACCUAUUUCAUGAUCCUCCAUGGAUCAACUAGAGUUUGUCAUACAUAUUCCAAAAGUGAUCAAGAAUAACCCUUCCCAUGGCUAACCGUUACCAACAUUUCCAUACCUCUCGACGGACAACAUACAAAACGAUUAUAAUGCUAUGAUCAAAGUAUAUUUAAGCCAUUUUCGCAUGGCUAUCCAAAUUUACACAAAACCGAAGGGUACAUGACCAACAACAAAAGGGUAGUCCUAUACAUGCCAUUUCAAAGUUCAACCAAAAUUGUACCAAAAGGGGGCUUUGAUAGUGUGGGAGACUUCGACUUCCAAAAAUCCCGAGUCCGAUAGCUGACGAGCCAAAAUCUAUAAAACAGAGAAACAAAGAAACGGAGUAAGCAAUUUAAGCUUAGUAAGUUUUGAGCAAGGGAUUCCAGCACAACAAAAGUAUAGCAUUCAUAUAGCUAAACGGAUAAUUUCAUAUGCACAAAUUUUCAAUAUCAUACUUACUUCACAUUACCAACCCUUAUGUUCAUACACAAAAGAUCAACUUAGCCAAAGGCCGGUAGCUCAUUUAUCGACUGAGCGAAUACAGAUUUGUAAGGGAUCAACUAAUUCAAAGCACACACGAAACAUACCUCAUCGCUGGGAUUUUACGAGCGUAUUAAUUUAAAUUUUUACAGCAAGAUCGCUUGUUCCCAAAUCAAGCAUCUUCGGGGUUUAGCCGGAUAUAACCACUCGCACAAGGCCUUCGGGUCUUAACCCGGAUAUGGUCACUAGCAUAAAUGCCUUCGGGACUUAGCCCAGGUGUAGUCGCUAGCACAAAUGCCUUCGGAUCUUAGUCCGGAUGUAGUCGCUUAGCACAAAAGCCUUCGGGACUUAGCCCGGAUAUCAUUCGAGUAACCAUGCACAUAUAUCAAUAAAUCAUGACACAUUCAUAUUUCAUUUUCAUUACCAAAGCUCAAACACAAGACACUUAUCACAUUUACAAUUUCGGCUCAAUAGCCACAUAUAAGAGCAUGAUUUUGAUUUACUUAAGACAUAAUCUAAUCGAAUCAUAAUUUAAGUCCCAUUACUCGAAAACUUACCUCGGAUGUUGUCGAACGAUUCCGAUGGCUAUUCGACCACUUUUUCUUUCCCUUUAUCGGAUUUAGUUCCCCUUUGCUCUUGAGCUUAAUUUAACAAAUAAAUUGAUUUAAUCAUUUGAGCAUCGAAAAGAGGAACUCAAGGUACUUGGCCCACAUAUAUUCAUUAGACAUUAAAGUCACAUAUGUACGGAAUCAUGAAUCAAAUUCAACACAUUAGUUAAUACUCUCCUUAGCCGAAUUUUCUAAGUCAAGAUAAAGCCUUCAAUAUGCUUACCUAUGGCCGAACAACACAUCAACCUAUGUACUCAUUCAUGUGGCCGAUUAUGCAUGUCUAUGUUGAGGCCAAUUAUAUACUCAAUACCACACACAAAUGGCAUACCUUUUACUAACUAGUGCAUUACAUAUUAUAACUCAAUACGCAUCUAUCAUGUACUCCAUAACCGAAACACCAUCAUAUGUAAAUAUAUACCUUGAGAUAUUGUAUAUGUCAUACCAAUACGUCAUGUGCAAACAUAUAUAUAUAUGUGCAAGAGCCGAAUCUCAAAGUUGAUUAUAACUAAACAUGAACAUAAAUCCAAAACACAAAUCUUACCUACCAUGCAAUAAGCAUAAAUCAUACUUAUGGAUAUACCAUGGCCGAAUACAUCACAACACCAUACCAUUUCAAUUUUGGUCAUGGUUAAACAAAGAACUUAAUGUCUCACUCAAAAAUGCUAAAAAGAAAAUCCAAGAGUCAUCAAUCCACCAUCACAUGUAUCAUUAACAAGCUUCAUAUUUAGCAUGCAAUGGCAUUAACACAAAAUCCACCUAGGCCGAAUAUCAUCCCCAUGACAUAGCAAAGAUUUGAACCAUGGGCUAAUUAGAACUCAAGCUAGCAACUAAAAACAUGCAUGAGUCUCAUGGCACAACCUCAAACAUACCUUAAUCUAGAUACAAGUAUGGCCAAACCUCCUCCUAAUCCUCUUCCAAACCAAACAUGAAGCAAGAACUCCUUCCUCCUUCCUUAGAAUUUUCGGCCAAAAGAAAUGAAAAAGGAUGAACAAUUUUUUUUUUCUUUAACUCACGGCAAUGGGGGGGGGGGAGGGAACACUCACACACAUUCUUUCUUUUUUUUUUUCCAUUUCUUUAUUACCCAUACUCCUUAUUUUAUUUUUCCUAACAUACCUCACUAACAUAACAUGUUUGUGACAUGUUUCCACUCAUAGCUUGGCCGGCCACUACUAAUUAGGGGGGAAAUUUGACAUGCAAGUCCUCCCUUUUUAUUACAUGCACUAUUAGAUCCUUAUAGAUUAGCCUAUCACAUUUCAAAAGUGUCACACAAAUCCUACUAACUGAAUUCACAUGCAAUCGACUAAAUCGAAGCUUGAAAUUUUCACACAUUCAUAAUUACAUAUUCUAGACAAUAAAUAUCACAUUCAAACAUUUCAGUGACUCGGUUUAGCGAUCCCGAAACCACUUCCCGACUAGGGUCAAUUUUGGGCUGUCACAUCGAGCCUAGGAGAAAAAGUGUAAAUAUGCAAAAGUUUAGGGGCAAAAUUGUAAUUUUUCCAAAGUUUGAGUUAUGGACUGUUUUGAAUAGUAAAUUAAUUAAAUAAGUAAAAUAUGAUGUUUUAGAUCCCGAAAAACGAGAUUUGAACCUAGAAUGAGAGAAAAAUCGAAAAUUGGGAAAGUUGGUAAAAUGGCCGUUUUAGUAUCGAGGUAAGUUCAUAUGUAUAAUAAGCAUUAAUUUAUGCAUGUUUGAAUGUAAAAUUGAUAUAUUCAUUAUGAUUUCCGAGGUGUUGAAAGUAUGUAAGUUGGUAUGAUAAUAAUACAGCAAUAAUGCUGUAAUUUAUAUUUGAAAGUUAAAUUUAGUGAAUUAAUUGAAUUAUAUUAAAUUAAAUGAUUAUGGUGCCAAGUUUAUGAAUUGAUUUAAAAAUAUGUAUAUGGUACAUGAAGUGCAUUGAAUUAUCAUACAUAAAUGUUGUCAUAACCAUUUUUUUGAAAAAAAACGGGUAUCGACUUGGAUUUUGAUAAUGAAAAUGAAUAGAGGAGUAGCCACCGAUCCUUUUUGACGAGGUGUGAUCGGGUCACCUCGUAAAAGUGGUUGUUUUUAAUAAAUAGUUUGAUUUAUUUAAACAAUAAUUUUAGUCUACGCAAAUCAAGGAAACAGGGUCGGGAGUCGGUUACACACGAGGAAGGAUUAGCACCCUCGAUACGCCCAAAAUUGGUACCUAGUUGAUUAAUUAGUGUCUUAGUGUCGAAGAUUGAAAACUUGGAAGACCUUUGAAAUACGAUCCCUCUUUGUAAAGAAAAUGCUUAAAUAUUAAAGACCUUCUCAUUUCAAAAUAUGAAAUGUCACAUCUAGUGAGUUAGGACACAACAUCUUGAAUUUUCGAGAGCGAGCUUGCCUUUUAUAAAAUCUGUGUAUUUUAUUAAAAGGGUAUUCGAUUAUUUAGAGUAAACGAGAGAAAUCGUAACCCAGUAAGUUAGGGCACGUUUUCUCGAAUUCUCAAACACUGAAUAUUGCCUUUAUUUCAAAACAAAUUCUUAUUUCGAGAUGACAAAAUGUCAUACUCGGUAAGUUAGGGCACAACACUUCGCAUCUUCGAGAGUAAGCAUUUUUCAAAACUCGUAUAGUGAUUUAAAAAGAAUAUACUCUGUUAUUUAGGUUAAAUGAGAAAAGUCGAAACCUAGUAAGUUAGGGUACGAUUAUCUCGAAUUACCUAAUACGAGAUAUUACUUUUAUGAAAGAAUCAUUUUUAACAUAUUAAGUAAAAACAUGAUUUAUAGUAAAAUAUAAAGAAAAUUAGGGUAUUAAUAUGUACAAUAACAUAAUGAUAGGUGUGAUGGUGUCAAAAAAACAAUAACGUGAGCAGUUAUAAAUGAUGAAUAAAUAGAAAUGUUAGUAACAUGUAAAUAUAAACAAAUGCAUGAGGAAAAUAAAAAGAUUGAAUACAUGAGUAAAUAAAUGAAAAUGAAUAAAACACGGCAAAAAAUAAAAAUGGCGAUGAUAACGUAGACGAUAAUAAUAGUGAUAACAUAAAUAAUAAUAAUAUAAAACGAUGCGCAGAUAUAUACAUGGAUGCAUUGAGAUAUAUACGUAAUAAUAGCAAUAAAAUAUAUACGUAGUAUUAAAAAAGGAAAAUAUACAUAAUAUACAUAUAUAUAUAUAUAUAUAAAAUAUAUAUAUGAGAUAUAAAAAUGUAUAUACAUGGUAAAACAUAAUGUGAUAUUUACAAUAUAUAAAACUAUAAUAAAAUGAUAUACACGAUAUAAUAUUAAUUUACAUAGGCAUAAUAUGAAGUAUAAUAUAUAAAUAUAUAUUAAAAGUAUGUAUAUAUGACACAAAUGUAUUAACAAAACAAUAAUAUCAAAACUAAUAAUAACAAUAAUAUAUAAAUGUAUACGUAUAUAUAUUAAAGAUAUAUAAUAAAUAUUAAUAAUAUAGAGGUAAAAAUAGAUAUAACAAAAUGUACAUAAUAGAAUAUUUGAAUAUGUAUACAUAAAACAUAUAUUAGGAACAAUAAUAAUAUAUAAAACAACUAUAAGAAUAUAUAUAAUAUGUAUAUAUAUAGUAUUAAUUUAAAAGGGGCUAAAUAAUAAUAAAAUAUGCUAAAAAUAAUAAUACAAGAAUGGUACAAUAGAAUAAUGAAUAAUAUUAAAAUAAAAAAUAAUAUAGAAAGUGUAUUAAAUAGGAGAAAUGGACUAAAUUUGAAACAAAUAUUAAGUUUUAGGGCCGAUUUAAAAAACUAAUAAAGAGAAGGGACUAAUUUGAAAGCGCAAAUAACAUACGAGGUCCAAAAGGGCAAUUUACCCGAGCCCUUGAAAAGGUGCCGCUGAAGGGAGGACCAACGUGCAAAAUGCGAUAAACCUCGGGGCUAAUUUAAAAGAAUUGAAAACUUGAUUGCAAAACAUAUAAAAAGCGGAAGGACCGGGCAUGCAAUUAGCCCCUAAGAGCAAAAACACGCGGAUCCCAGGGUAAGACGGGUCGGGUCUUCGGGUCGCGCCUAAACGGCGCCGUUUCUGGGUUUUAAAAGGGCCGGGCAAAACGGCGCGUUUUGCCGGCCUAUAUAAACUAAUUUUUUUUAAUUUCAUUUCCCUUCUCCCUUUUUAAAAAGGUCUUCUAAUCCUCUCUUUUCUCUCUGCAGGUACCCUGGGUCCGGCCAGCAUUCGUCACCGUCCGUCGCGCCUUCCGCUGGCGGUGCUGUCGCCGGCCACCACUUUCAAAAAGGUGUAUUGUUUUAUUUUAUUUUUUAUUUUCCUCUUUAUUUUAAUAAUAUAUAUAUGCACAAUCAUGUAAUCAGGAAAUAAAGUAAAAGAGGAAAGAAAGAAACCAAUUCAAAACUUAGAAAAUUUCAAGACCUUUCGAUAUUCUGAUUUUGAUUUCUUCCUUGGGCUUUGUUUUAUUUCUUGCGAUUUGUUGAUGUUUUCUAAUCUCUGUUUUGGUAUUGAGUCUUCUUUUUUUGAUAUAUGUGGUUGAAAUCUAAGAGAUUUUAUUGUAAAAAUCUGCUAACCUCCUUUACAAAAUCAUCUAUUCGACAUUUAUAAAGCCUUAACAAUCUCUCUGCUUUCUACACUAUUCUCACAUUUAAUGGUUGCAGGUGCAGAGGCGGUGGAGCAGAGGCCAAUUUCUGACGACGUGACUGGGGGCAGUGGCAUAGGUGAUUUAGGCUAGGGUUUAUUUUUUUUAAUUUUGGUUUUGAUUUCGGGCUGAUGUUAGGCAUUGGGCCCAUUUGGGGUUUGGGUAGGUUUAAUGUUUUGGGUAAAUUGGGUUAGGGGUUUUGGGUAAAUUGGGUUAGGGGUUUUGCGCCCAAAAUUAGGCUUGUACAACUGCCCUCUUUGCUUGUUGUCGUGUAAUGAGAACAGGGCAAAGACUUAAGAAAGACCAAUUUUGCCUGAUCUCGCCAUGUCUGGACUUGUUUAGCGCUCCUUUUCUCCAGGUAUCUUUAAUGUGCUCCAUUGAAACUUCAGAUAAGAUCUGUUUGUUUAGCUUCACUCCGUUCCACUUUAUCUUCAGGGAAUUAAGAUUUCCUAUCUUCAGUCUGCUCCUCUACAACUUUAGGAAGAUAAGACCUGUGACUUUAACUAACUCUACUGAAACUUCAAGGAGAUCUGUUGUGGCUUGGGUUACCUCCACUGCUGCUUCAGGGAGAAGACAUUUGAUUUUCAACCUGUUACCCUACUGCUUAGGGGUUUAAGGCUUGUUAUCAUCGAUCUGUGAAUUCAACUUGUUACCCUACUGCUUAGGGUUUAAGGUCUGUAAGUUUGGCUUACUACCCUACUGCUUAGGGUUUAAGGUCUGUAAGUUUGGCUUACUACCCUAUUGCUUAGGGGGUUGAGCCCAUCAUCUUUGAUCUGUUUCCCUACUGCUUAGGGGGUUAAGAUCUGUAAAUUCAACCUGCUUCACUGUAACUUUAGGGGGACAAAAUCUGUAAUUUUCAGCCUAUUACCCUACUGCUUAGGGGGUUAAGGUCUGCAAAUUUGGCUUGUUACCCUACUGCUUAGGGGGUUAAAACCCUUUGAAUUCAACCUGUUACCCAACUGCUUAGGGGUUUAAGGUCUGUACAUUUAGUCUGUUCCAUUGCGACUUCAAGGAGAUGAGACUUGUAACUUCAGUCUGCUUCGCUGAGACUUCAGGAAGACAGGAUUCGUUGGAUUUGAUCUGUUCCACUGCAACUUCAGGGAGACGAGAUCUGUAAUUUUCAGCCUAUUACCCUACUACUUAGGGGGUUAAGGCCUGCAAAUUUGGCUUGUUACCCUACUGCUUAGGGGGUUAAAGCUCAUCAUAUUCGAUCUAUUUUCCUACUGCUUAGGGGGUUAAGAUCUGCGAAUUCAACCUAUUACCCUACUGCUUAGGGGGUUAAGGUCUGGUGAAUUCACUGAUUCUAGGAACAUGACCUGUAGAAUUAGUUCCAUGUAUUUAUGCUUAUGCCAAAAAAUUAGGAUGCUAUGAUCAAAAUGAAUCAAAUGCUCCUAAUUAGAUGCAUUAUGAAUGAUCUAUGAAUGUAUGGGUGCAACAUGUUGUGAGCGUGAAUCCUUUUUAAUGUUUAGAUUGCCAUUGCUCUUUGUUCAUCAAAUUUCUUUCACUGAAAUGGUACCCUGUUUUCUUGUUCAGCUCAAAUUUUGAACAGAAAACCCGAAGAGGUAGUCCCAGUUUAAACUCUUUCUUCUCAUAUGCUCCCAAUCUUUGAGUUUGGUUAGUUCUAAAUAAUAGUCCUGUUUUAGGUUCCUAUACUAUUUAGAAACCUUCAGAGCAAUAUGCAGAACUCUUUUUGCGAAAAUGGCUUUAGUCCAUUAAUCAUCAUUUCAAUACAAAAUGCUUGAAAAAGAUUAUAACAAUGACAGGACUGAAAUUUGUCAGAAACAAAAUUUGAAGGGAAUAGAACCAUGGGCAACAAAUAUUGCUCGAAUACAAAAUGAGUAGAAAGAGAAUAGAUGCCCCAGAUAUCGUAGCGUGAGCUUCUUUGUACUAACUUCUUGGGGACUCCCUUUUUGCACAAUAUGUAUUUAGGGGAUCUAGAGUACCCUUGUAGAUGCCUCAAGAUGUAACAUCUCCCCUCCUUGUUAAUUUAGGUAUCGUGAGACCAUUGCAUGCCCCACUUUCGAUCAAAAUUUGAAUCGCCCUUUAUGGGUUUUCAAUUCAAAAAAUCUCUUUGGUCUCAAGGUGCUCUUUGCGAGUUUUCACCCUGGCCUCUCCUUCUUCUUUCUUUCUUUUUUUUUAGGCGAAGUAUUUCUUAACUGAAUCUGAAUUCACAGGAUUGGGUAAAGUCUUGCCAUCCAUUUCGGCCAAUAUCAAUGCUCCGCCAGAAAAGGCUUUCUUCACCACAUAAGGUCCUUCCCAAUUCGGCAUCAAUUUUCCUCCAAAGUCCUUUUGUACGGGCAGGAUCUUUUUCAAUACUAGGUCUCCCUCGUGGAAUUCUCUAGGACGAACCUUUUUGUUGUAAGCUCGUAUCAUUCGAUUUUGGUACAUCUGACCAUGGCGAAUAGCCCUUAGCCUCUUUUCUUCAAUCAAAUUCAACUGAUCGUAUCGAGACUGGAUCCAUUCUGCUUCAUCCAACUUUACCUUUGACAAAACUCAGAGGGAAGGAAUCUCGACCUCGAUAGGUAAAACUGCCUCCAUUCCAUAAACUAAUGAGAAAGGCGUUGCCCCGGUAGAAGUUCUGAUAGACGUUCGAUAAGCAUAGAGGGCGAAUGGUAGCUUUUCAUGGCAGUCUUUAUAAGUCUCAGUCAUUUUCCCCACAAUCUUCUUGAUGUUCUUAUUGGUUGCUUCGACUGUACCGUUCAUCUUCGGGCGAUACGGUGAUGAGUUGUGGUGUUUGAUCUUGAACUGACUGUAGCCAGCCGCUAUCGUGCUAUUGUUCAAAUUCAAUGCGUUGUCAGAAUUGAUCCUUUCCGGCAUUCCAUAUCGACAGAUGAUUUCCUUUUUCAGGAACUUGCUAACUGCUGAUUUAGUGACAUUGGCAUAUGAAGCGGCCUUCACCCAUUUGGUGAAAUAAUCGAUGACAACAAAGAUGAAUCGGUGCCCAUUUGAAGCUUUUGGUGAAAUUGGCCCAAUCACAUCCAUGCCCCACAUCGAGAAAGGCCAUGGCGAAGUCAUGACAUGCAGAGGUGAGGGAGGUACAUUAAUCUUGUCUCCAUAGAUUUGGCACUUAUGACAUCUUUUGGCGUAGUUAAUACAGUCUCCUUCCAUGAUGGAGCAAUAAUAAUCGAACCUCAUAAUUUGCCUGGCCAUUGUAAAACCAUUAGCGUGUGUCCCACAGACGCCCUCAUGGACUUCUUCUAAGAUUUUUUUAGCCUCAAUAGCAUCUACACAUCUCAACAGUACCUGAUCCUUCCUUCUUUUGUAUAGGAUCUCCCCGUCUAAGACAUAGUCAUGGGCCAGUCUUCUUAACGUUCUUUUGUCAUUCUUAGUAGCUUGAUCGGGGUAUUCACGAUUCUUCACAUAUCGCAGGAUAUCGUGGUACCAAGGGUGAUCAUCAUUUUCUUCUUCUUCUUCGAGGUUGUAACAAUGAGCCGGGGCCUCGUAAAUGCUCAUUUGGAUUGGUUUUACAUCCUCUGGUUGGUUUACAUUGAUCAUAGAAGCUAAAGUUGCUAGGGUGUCAGCCAUCUGAUUUUCUUCUCGUGGAAGGUAGCAGAAGACAAUAUCAUCAAACUCUUUAAUUAACUCAAGGAUCAACCUCCGGUAAUUGAUCAAUUUGGGGUCUCUUGUCUCCCAUUCAUCUUUGAGUUGAUAAAUCACUAGGGCAGAAUCUCCAUGUACCUCUAACACUUUGAUUUUACAUUCUAUGUCUACGUGUAUUCCCAUGAUACAUGCUUCGUAUUCUGCCAUAUUGUUCGUGCAGUCAAAAUCUAAUUUACUAGUGAAGGGAUAAUGAUCUCCGUUCGGGGACACCAGAACUGCCCCGAUCCUGUUACCCACAGCAUUUGAUGCCCCGUCAAAGUUUAGCUUCCAAGGAUGACCUUCUUGAGGGUCUUCUUAAGUGGUUGCUAUGUACAUUAGAUCUUCAUUUAGGAAGUCCAAGUUCAGAGGCUCGUAGUCCUCUAGGGCUCUGCUGGCUAGGAAAUCUGCUAUCGCACUCCCUUUUACGGCCUUCUAGUUCACAGAGAUUAUAUCGAACUCGGAAAGUAGAAUUUGCCAUCGAGCCAUUCUCCCAUUCAAAGCGGUCGACUCAUCAAGUAUUUCAGAGGUUCCAUUUUAGAGAUCAUCCAAGUUGUAUGGUACAAAAUGUAUUGUCUCAGUCUUCGGGUUGUCCAGAUUAAGGCACAGCACAACUUUUCAAUGAACGAGUAUCUCGUCUCACACUCAGUAAACUUUUUAAUGAGGUAAUAUAUUACUUUUUCUUUCCUUCCUGAUUUAUCGUGUUGGCCAAGCACGCAUCUCAUAGAAUUUUCAAAUACCGUCAAAUACAGUAUCAGUGGCUUAUCUGGACUAGGUGGUGUCAACACUGGGGCAUUAGAAAAAUAUUGCUUAACUUUGUCGAAAGUCUUCUGGCAUUCCUCGUCCCAACCACCAGGGUUGUGUUUCUUAAGGAGACAGAAUAUAGGGUCACAUUUCUCGGUUAGUUAUGAAAUAAACUGAGCGAUGUAAUUUAGUCUUCCUAGGAAUCCCCGAACUUUCUUCUGAGUACGUGGUGGAGGUAACUCUUGUAUGGAUUUGACUUUAUCUGGGUCAAUCUCAAUCCCUUUUUCACUUACCACGAAUCCUAGCAGUUUUCCUGACCUGGCUUCGAAGGUACAAAUUCUCUACCCCAGUUCCUUCUUCAUAUGUGGCGUUGAUGUCCAAACUCUCCAUCAUUCUUUCCAUGAUUUCCUUUCCCGACAUCUUCCGCUCGGAGUGAAUGACCCCUCCAGACACAAAAGUCUUCGAUAUAUGGGGGAAGAUCAUUGGUUCCCAUUCGAUUUCUCCCCUGUUCAAUCGCGCUCUCCUUCUUUCUCGCUUCUUUUCAAGUUCCUUCUUUCUUUGUUUCAUGUCCGGCUUAAACCCUAACCCAAAACGGUAUUGUUUGUCCUUCAUCAUUGGUAUAUUAAUCCUUCCCUGGAGGUAUCUCCUGAGUUCUCUUUCGGGUAGAGCCUCUUUUCCAAUAGUUAGCUGUAGUCCAAUUUUUGUAGUCUCAGAUAACCUGGGUAUUGGAAUCUUAUUUCCUUCGGUGAUGAACAUCGCGUUCACAAACUCCAAAGGUCGAAAAGAGCACUCGAUUGCUUCAUCAUUUGCCUCCAGAUAUGGGGUGUCACUGGUUAUUGUCGCGAUGAUGUCCUCUUCAGCAUUGAUCGUUACUAACCAACCUUCAGUCACUAAUUUCAACUUUUGGUGCAGCGAUGAAGGGACUGCCCCUGCCGAGUGUAUCCAUGGCCUCCCGAAUAGGCAAUUAUACGAAGGCUUAAUGUCCAUGACCAGGAAAUCUACCUCGUAUGUGCUCGGCCCGAUUAAGAGGGGUACUUCAAUUCUCCCCAUUACCUUCCUUUCGGUGCCAUCAAAUGCUCUCACUACAUUUUGGCAUGUCUUCAUAUGGGAACUAUCCACUGGCAACCUACUCAGCGUAGAUAGGGGUAGGACAUUCAGUGCAGAUCCAUUGUCAAUCAAUACCCCCGGUAAUGUGUACCCUUUACAGCGAGUUGUGAUGUGCAAAGCUUUAGUCGAUCCUCGGCCCCCUGGUGGUACCUCAUCGUCAUUAAAGAAUAUGAAAUUGUCGACACUUAUACUGUUGACUAAGUGGUCCAAUUUGUUUAUAGAGAUAUCGUUAGCAACAUAAGUUUCAUUCAGCAUCUUCAUCAACGUGUUACGAUGGGUUUCGGAGCUUAAGAGUAAGGCCAGUACCGAUAUACGAGCUGGCUGUUUGUGCAACUAUUCUACGACACUAUAUUCGCUGUGCUUUAGAAAUUUUAAGAAUUCCUUGGCUUCUUUUUCAGUAACUGAUUCAUUAACAGUUGCUUCAGGCCCCACCAGCUUCUCUUUCUUUUGCUCGAUUGCUAAUGAUUUUUCUUUAACCUGCUCGACUUUUGUAUUUGGGGUAUAACGCCUUCCACUGCGCGUAUAAAAACCUUCGUCUUGAACUUCCUCUGAUGCAUUAAUAGGGGUCUCCUCUCCCGGGAAUGUCACAUUGCAGCUAUAGUUCCACGGUACCCUUUUGCUAUCCUUGUAAGAGAAAGCAACGGGCUUCUGGAUUACGACCUUUGGAGCAAUUUGUGCCCCGAAUUCAUUCAUUCUCGGACGUGAUAUGAUAACCACUGGGUGGUUGACCUUGUAAGCAUCCUUCAUCGACCCCUCUUCGGAGGCACACACAUCUGUUUCUUCUGGGCUCCCUACAUAUUCGAAGAAUCCCAGCUCCUUAUUAUCGAUCAAUCCUUGUAACAAAGCCCUGAAUUCCCUGCACUUUUGAAUCUCAUGAUCCUCCUGAUCAUGGAACUUGCAAUAAUUCUCUACUUCUUGAGGUCUGACCCUUGAAUUCUGUGCUAUCAACCCUCUUUCCACCAUUUUCUUCCAUACUUCUUUCAAUAGGGUAUUCACUUCUUCCAUAUUCAUCUUAAUUUCUUUCCCCGAACUCUCGAUUAUCGCCUUUAUUCCCUUAUCCCCAUGGUUAGGUAAUGGAUUCUCUGCACUGAAUGUAUCGUCAAAUUUCACUAUCCCCAUGUUGAUGUGUCUUUCAACCAAUUUCUUGAAAGUGGUGCAGUUUUCUAUUGAGUGUCCUGUGGCUCCCGCAUGGUAUUCGCAUUGGGCAUUUGCGUCAUACCAUUUGGGAUAUGGAGGUUGCAUUGGCUUUAGAUAAAAGGGAGACACGACGCGUGCAUCAAAUAAACUCUGGUAUAACUCCUUUUAUGUCAUUAGAAUGGGCGUAAAUUUAAGUUUCUCCCUAUUUUGUUUUGUGUUGGGCUCUUGUUUGGGUGGGCCUUGCUGUCCAGUAGUUGUCGACCUUGGUUGGCUUACGAUGAUCGAUUUCGAAUAUGAGCUCACAUUAUUCACCUCGUGCUCUUUCUUUCUCGGUGCUAACCUCUUAGCGUUUUCCCCAGCCUCUAUUUUCCCACAUCUUAUGGCAUUUUCUAUCAUUUCUCGAGAUAUUACUAUGUCUGAAAAACUCUUGGUUGUGCUACCCAGCAUGUGGUUAAUAAAAGGUGCCUUCAGGGUAUUGAUAAAGAGUAUAGUGGUUUCCUUUUCCAACAGAGGGGGUUAGACUUGUGUGGCCACCUCUCUCCAUCGCUGGGCGUACUGCCUAAAGCUCUCAUUAUGCUUUUUCUCCAUAUUCUGUAAAGUGAUUCUAUCAGGGGCUAUGUCUGCCACCUGACCGUACUACUUCAUGAAGGCUUGUGCUAAAUCUUUCCAUGAACUGAUCUGGGCGCGACUCAGUUGGUUGUACCAUCUAGAAGUGGCCCCAACCAAGCUUUCUUGGAAGCAGUGGAUUAAUAGUUGGUCAUUAUUGACAUGGCCUGCCAUUCGUCUGCAGAACAUAGUGAUGUGAGCUUCGAGACAACUAGUCCCGUUGUAUUUCUCAAAUUUUAGUGUUUUGAACUUGGGAGGGAGUACCAGGUCCGAAACAAAACUUAAUUCCUUAGCGUCGAUUCCACCAUGAUAGUCGGUGUUUUCUAUUUCUUUAAAUUUUUCUUCCAACCAUCUACACCUUUCUUCAAGCUCUCUCGGGAGUUCUACCCUUGUCUUUUCUGCUUCUAUUACUUCAUCGAGAUUGAGGACCACAGGGUUGGUCGAGUUAUCCCUCGGAUUAGAGCCCGAACCGGCCUGAUAAUUCAUCGAUGUCGAAACACCGGCCUGAAAUGGUUGGGGCCUAAUUGUGACCGAUGGCCUUCUUGGGUACAUAUCAGGUUGUGUCUGAACGUCCGCUGGGGCAAAACCCGGAGGGUAGGUAAGAUCUUCAUUAUUUUUUCUCGCAUUGAUCAAGGGCUUUUCCUUUAUUCUAAUCUGCCAGCCAAUAGACGAGUUAAUUGGUCCAUCAUGCUUUUCUGGGACUCCAACAUAUGGUCCCUCAUAUCUUGCUAGAUUUUGGCAAGCUGUUCUUGCAUACGUGCUUGUAAUUGAUCCUGCAUCUCUUUUUGCAUUUGUUCCAAUCUCUCUAACCUUUGAUCCAUUACUCUUGUUUUUCCUCUUGUAUCGUAACGAUGUUCUAGGGUAACUGCCAUGAUUUUUUUUGUGAGUUUUAGUGAGUGUGAUACAAUGCUGAUGCAUGAAUGCAAUGAAUGCAAUGAAUGCAAAAAAGCGUUGAUUCCAAGUCGAUUUCAUUAGAGUAACUUUCUAGAAAACAAGUUUCUUUACAUAAAAUAGAUUACAUAUAAGGCUUGGCCCUGAUACUUAAGGCCUUGACCUGUCUAAGAAGCCAAGCCAGCUCUCAGCCUCAGUCCGAUUCUGACUCGUAUUUUAAACUCAGCACAUCGGCUUGUACUGCUAAUGUUUGCAAGUGAUCAGCCACUUCUCGCACUUGAGUCAAAGCUUCGCCCAUAACGUAGUCCCUGCUCCUGACUUGGUCUUGAGAUUGAUGAAGAUGCUCCUUCCAUCGCUCGUUAUUUACUUCAAGGAGUUCAAUAUGAAGUUCAUGAUUUUGCAGUGCUGUUUUGAGUUCUUCUAUAUUCUAUUUUAAUUCUUCAAUUCUUCUCUGACUAGCUUUAAACUCGAUUACAGAGUUACGCAAGCUAUAUUGAUACAAUGACUUCUCUAACUCUGAUACCCGGAUUUUUAACCCUUCUUUCUCAUUCUGGCUUUCUACCAAAUUUCUUUUCAGAGCGCCUUCUCGAGCUUGAGCAUCGCGGAAUUUUUCUUCCCACUGGUUGGCUUUGCUUUGUUCUUUUUUAACUUCAUGUUGCCACUAUUCGGAUGUUUUUCCUAACCCAGCGAUUCUCAUUGAUCUGCGCAGCUUCUUAUAGUCCGUCUUCAAACUGCCCAAGUCCUCUUCAGCCUUGUUUUUCCCUUUUCUGAGUUUUUCAUCUUCUAGUUUCUGGACAUCGACAUCUAACCCUAACUGCAUCUUUUCUUCUUCCAACUGCUCGAUCCUUUUUUCUAGCUCCAGACUCUUUUUCUCGAAAUCUUGCUUGAUGAUUUCUAGCUCAGAUGGGAUUACUCUCAAGUGUUCUUCUAUCCAUUGAGGAUUCCCUUGAUCUGAUGUAGGGAUGUUGUCAUUAAUCCUCUGAUUCCACCAUCGAUCGUACUCAGGAGUAGUCAUGGGGUUGGCAGCAAACUUCUUCAUUCUAUGAGUCUGGUUCCAGGCAUUUGAUAUCUCGCAAACUUUGUUUUUAUAAUUAUUCCCUGUGAACACGAACUCGCACUGGGCUAACCCGUAUGUUGGUGGUGUAAACUGUCUGGGUCUGUACUGUCUUAAUGCAAGCAGAGGAGCAUAUCUGACGGCUCCCCAUACUCCUAACAAGGGAACCCAAUCAAAAUAUCUGUAUCGGUAUAAUAUUUCAUCAGGAACCAUCCACGGGGCUCUCCAUUCAACAUCUUCUUCUUGCAAAUUUUAGAGAACCGUCAUCCAAUUGUCUUCUGUAACAUCAUCUCGCCUUGGUGUAGCCACUAAUUCUUUCAGCGGAGAGUAAUUUUUAGAGACGAUACGAUACGAGACCUUUUCCACUUUCCAGAAAUGGCUGUGGAACCAGGAUAGCAAGAGGUGCGCACAUCUAAUAAAUCUCCCUUCACCCGCUCUUCUACAAGCAUUUAAUGAUCUGAAAGUUUCAGCCAAGAUUACGGGUACAGGUGUAGUUCAUUUACCAAGCCUGUCAAAAAGGUCGGAAACAGCCUCGUCUACAUGUCUCAAAGCUUUGGGGAAGAUGACCAGUCCAUAAAUGCUCAAGGCGAAGACAUCUACCCUUUUCUUCACGUCGUGGUGCGCUAAGAUUAGAUCCCUCAGGUUCCUCCAAGGAAUGCAUUUACAAUCUCCUUUUUUUUUAUCCGGGUUGUCACCCACUGUUCGCUCAUCCCUGUGAUGUUCAUCAGCUUUUUUGAAAAUGCUGGGACGUUAGCAGGUUUGGAAUAAAUUCUGUCAACCUGAAUCUUUGGGCAAUGGAGCAAGGUCGUGUAUUCUUCUAUAGUAGGUACCAAAUCUACUUUCCCGAAAGUGAAGCAACUAUAAGCAGAAUUCCAAUAUUGGGCAAGGGCUCGAAAUAGGUGUUCAUCUACCUUGACAUCGAGCAGAUGAGGUAAAUCACCGUAAUGACAAUAGAAUAGCUGUUUGACCUCGUCAUCCCACUGACCCCAAAUUUCUUUCAUCUCUUGGAGAUUAUUCUGAGUUACGCUGAUCCGAGUAAAAUUCCAUAACUCUGACACAUGCCCCUCGGUAAGACUGUCACCUUUAUCUUGUUGUGUUGUCUCAGCCCAUAUCCGGACAGCCGCGUUGUCUUCUACUUUAUCAAAAAACCCUUUUUCCAUAAUAAGCUAUCUAUUUAGGAAUCGAAUGCGAAUCAACACCUUUUAUAAUGAAAAUGCCAUGCAAAUACAAUCAAAGUAAAACAAAGCAAGUCAGUAAUUUAUACACAGUUCAAAGCAAACAAAUAAUAAUAAAUAUAGCACUUGCUCAGGUGACCACUAGGGUUUCGGAGUGGCUCUACCUAGGGCGGGUUCUUAAGGCUCGCUACAUAGGGUUUGGUUCUAGAGUAAGGGUACCUGAACCAACAGAUUCCUCGAUCUUCACCCAUUAUAGCUCAUAUAGACCGAGUUUAGUUUAGGGGAAUAUAUUUCCCUAUGGCUGCACGGAGAUGAAAAUCUCACGAAGACAUAGGUACGGAUGUAUCCCGAAAGCGAUCCACUAUCCUGUACGGAGGUGAAAAGCUCACGAAGGAGUAGUUUCUCUCUCUCACUUAAAGGGGUGUGACCACAGCAGUCAUGCAAUGCAAUAUGCAAGACUAUUCAAAGACUCAAAUCAACGCAGCAGGUAUUAUAUCAUAAACCACAAAAAAUAGCUGAUGAAAUGCAAUGAAACGAUCGUAUUUCAAAACCGAAUUUUCAAUUUUCGAUAAAAAGACAAAAGUUAAUCAACUUGCGGCUUGACUCUCUUAUUUGAUUCCCCAGUGGAGUUGCCAAGUUGUCAUAACCAUUUUUUUUGAAAAAAACGGGUAUCGACUUGGAUUUUCAUAAUGAAAAUGAAUAGAGGAGUCGCCACUGAUCCCUUUUGACGAGGUGUGAUCGGCUCACCUCGUAAAAGUGGUUGUUUUUAAUAAAUAGUUUGAUUUAUUUAAACAAUAAUUUUAGUUUACGCAAAUCAAGGAAACAGGUUCGGGAGUCGGUUACGCACGAGGAAGGAUUAGCACCCUCGAUACGCCCAAAAUUGGUACCUAGUUGAUUAAUUAGUGUCUUAGUGUCGAAGAUUGAAAACUUGGAAGACCUUUGAAGUACGAUCCCUCUUUGUAAAGAAAUUGCUUAAAUAUUAAAGGCCUUCUCAUUUCAAAAUAUGAAAUGUCACAUCCAGUGAGUUAGGACACAACAUCUUGAAUUUUCGAGAGCAAGCUUGCCUUUUAUAAAAUCUGUGUAUUUUAUUAAAAGGGUAUUCGAUUGUUUAGAGUAAACGAGAGAAAUCAAAACCCAGUAAGUUAGGGCACGUUUUCUCGAAUUCUCAAACACUGAAUAUUGCCUUUAUUUCAAAACAAAUUCUUAUUUCGAGAUGACAAAAUGUCAUACUCGGUAAGUUAGGGCACAACACUUCGCAUCUUCGAGAAUAAGCAUUUUUCAAAACUCGUAUAGUGAUUUAAAAAGAAUAUAUUCCAUUAUUUAGGUUAAAUGAGAAAAGUCGAAACCUAGUAAGGUAGGGUACGAUUAUCUUGAAUUACCUAAUACGAGAUAUUACUUUUAUGAAAGAAUCCUUUUUAACAUAUUAAGUAAAAACGUGAUUUAUUGUAAAAUAUAAAGCAAAUUAGGGUAUUAAUAUAUAUAAUAACAUAAUGAUAGGUGUGAUGGUGUCAAAAAAAAAACAAUAACGUGAGUAGUUAUAAAUGAUGAAUAAAUAGAAAUGUUAGUAACAUGUAAAUAUAAACAAAUGCAUGAGGAAAAUAAAACGAUUGAAUACAUGAGUAAAUAAAUGAAAAUGAAUAAAACAUGGCAAAAAUAAAAAUGGCGAUGAUAACGUAGACGAUAAUAAUAGUGAUAACAUAAAUAAUAAUAAUAUAAAACGAUGCGCAGAUAUAUACAUGGACGCAUUGAGAUAUAUACGUAAUAAUAGAAAUAAAAUAUAUACGUAGUAUUAAAAAAGGAAAAUAUACAUAAUAUACAUAUAUAUAUAAAAUAUAUAUAUGAGAUAUAAAAAUGUAUAUACAUGGUAAAACAUAAUGUGAUAUUUACAAUAUAUAAAACUAUAAUAAAAUGAUAUACACGAUAUAAUAUUAAUUUACAUAGGCAUAAUAUGAAGUAUAAUAUAUAAAUAUAUAUUAAAAGUAUGUAUAUAUGACACAAAUGUAUUAACAAAACAAUAAUAUCAAAACUAAUAAUAACAAUAAUAUAUAAAUGUAUACGUAUAUAUAUUAAAGAUAUAUAAUAAAUAUUAAUAAUAUAGAGGUAAAAAUAGAUAUAACAAAAUGUACAUAAUAGAAUAUUUGAAUAUGUAUACAUAAAACAUAUAUUAGGAACAAUAAUAAUAUAUAAAACAACUAUAAGAAUAUAUAUAAUAUGUAUAUAUAUAUAGUAUUAAUUUAAAAGGGGCUAAAUAAUAAUAAAAUAUGCUAAAAAUAAUAAUACAAGAAUGGUACAAUAGAAUAAUGAAUAAUAUUAAAAUAAAAAAUAAUAUAGAAAGUGUAUUAAAUAGGAGAAAGGGACUAAAUUUGAAACAAAUAUUAAGUUUUGGGGCUGAUUUAAAAAACUAAUAAAGAGAAGGGACUAAUUUGAAAGCGCAAAUAACAUACGAGGUCCAAAAGGGCAAUUUACCCGAGCCCUUGAAACGGUGUCGCUGAAGGGAGGACCAACGUGCAAAAUGCGAUAAACCUCGGGGCUAAUUUAAAAGAAUUGAAAACUUGAUUGCAAAACAUAUAAAAAGCGGAAGGACCGGGCAUGCAAUUAGCCCCUAAGACCAAAAACACGUGGAUCCUAGGGUAAGACGGGUCGGGUCUUCGGGUCGCGCCUAAACGGUGCCGUUUCUGGGUUUUAAAAGGGCCGGGAAAAAUGGCGCGUUUUGCCGGCCUAUAUAAACUAAUUUUUUUUAAUUUCAUUUCCCUUCUCCCUUUUUUAAAAAGGUCUUCUAAUCCUCUCUUUUCUCUCUGCAGGUACCCUGGGUCCGGCCAGCAUUCGUCACCGUCCGUCGCGCCUUCCGCUGGCGGUGCCGUCGCCGGCCACCGCUUUCAAAAAGGUGUAUUGUUUUAUUUUAUUUUUUAUUUUCCUCUUUAUUUUAAUAAUAUAUAUAUGCACAAUCAUGUAAUCAGGAAAUAAAGUAAAAGAGGAAAGAAAGAAACCGAUUCAAAACUUAGAAAAUUUAAACACCUUUCGAUCUUCUGAUUUUGAUUUCUUCCUUGGGCUUUGUUUUAUUUCUUGCGAUUUGUUGAUGUUUUCUAAUCUCUGUUUUGGUAUUGAGUCUUCUUUUUUUGAUAUAGGUGGUUGAAAUCUAAGAGAUUUUAUUGUAAAAAUCUGCUAACCUCCUUUACAAAAUCAUCCAUUCGGCUUUUAUAAAGCCUUUACAAUCUCUCUACUUUCUACACUAUUCUCACAUUUAAUGAUUGUAGGUGCAGAGGCGGUGGAGCAGAGGCCACUAGUUGAUAAAGUUUGCAAGAGCUGUCCUUUAAUGAUUCGGGGUCACUGUUUUCCGGCUGAUUUAAUGAUUUUACCUUUUUAUGAGUUCAAUGUAAUUCUUGGAAUGGAUUGGUUUACUCUACAUCUGUCGUAGUGAAUCGUAGACGAAAGAUUAUUGAAUUGAAAUGUCAAAAUAAUGAUAUUCUUUGGAUUGAACCGGAUGAGUCGGUGAGUUGCCUAUUGUGAUUUCAUCGAUGUCGGAUCAAAUGUAUGUAAGAAAAGGUUGUGAAGCUUAUCUUGUAUAUGUGCUGAAUACGAAAGUGUCCGAAUUAAAAAUCGAUUCGGUAUCGGUAGUUUGUGAAUACCUGGAUGUGUUCCCAGAAGAAUUGCCUGGAUUACCACCGAUCAGAGAGGUUGAGUUUACUACUGAUUUGGUACCGGGGAAUUCACCGAUAUCGAUAGCUUCGUAGAGGAUGGAUCCGACCGAAUUGAAAGAAUUGAAAUCUUAGUUGCAAGAGCUGACAGAUAAAGGUUUUGUAAGACCAAGUUUUUCGCCCUAGGGUGCACCGGUGUUAUUCGUCAAGAAGAAAGACGGAUCCAUGAGACUUUGUAUAGAUUAUCAUCAGCUUAACAAAUUAAGAUAAAGAACAAGUAUCCUUUACCAAGAAAUGAUGAUUUUGUUUGAUCAGUUGAAAGGGGCAACAGUGUUCUCGAAGAUAGACUUGAGAUCAGGCUAUUAUUAGUUGAGAGUUAAAGAGUCAGAUGUGCCGAGGACCGCGUUCAGAAUAAGGUACGGGCAUUAUGAAUUUCUUGUUAUGCCUUUUGGAUUAACUAAUGCUUUUGCAGUUUUUAUGGACUUGAUGAAUCGAAUUUUUCGACCGCAUUUAGAUAAAUUUUUGGUUGUUUUUAUUGAUGACAUUUUGAUUUAUUCCGGAGAUGAGUCUGAGCAUUUUGAACGUUUAAGAAUCGUAUUACAGACUUUGAGAGAUAAGAAAUUAUUUGCUAAAUUCAGUAAAAGUGAGUUUUGGCUACGAGAAGUCGAAUUUCUAGGACAGAUUGUUUCGGCAGAAGGUAUACAGGUUGAUCCGAGUAAGAUUACGAUGGUUGUUGAUUGGAAACCACCGAGAAAUGUAUCCGAAUUCAGAAGCUUUCUGGUUUUGGUUGGAUAUUAUCGAUGUUUUGUUAAGGGAUUUUCGAUGAUUGCUACACCUAUGACCAGAUUGUUACGAAAAGAUGUGAAAUUUGAGUGGUUUGAAAAAUGUCAACAGAGUUUUGAACAGUUGAAAGCGUUGUUAUUUGAGGCACCGGUGUUAGUGCAACCUGAGUUGGAAAAGAGGUUGUGAUUUUCAAUGACGUAUCAUUGAACGGUCUUGGAUGUGUGUUGAUGCAAGAGGGUAAAUGUCACGCCCCACGCACGAGCCCUAUGCUGGGAUGGGAUACGAGGCGUUACCACAUUUUAUCACAUGCAUACAAUCAUAUCGAUGUCAUUAAGACUCGAUGAAAUUUAAAACUUUUUUUUUUAAAUUUGUUUAAACUCCUUAUUAUAGGCCUACAAGGCCCCAAACAUCCAUUUGAAACCAUUCGGGACCAACCCGUGUAACACCCCGUACCCGAGCCCGUUGCCGGAGUCGAACACGAGGUGCUAACAGACAUAAUACAUUUAUUUCCACAGUCCAUUUAAAAAUUUCCAGACAAACGGGUUACAGCGUCACUGUCGCCUUAAAAAAAAUCAUAUCUUGAGUUUCAAAACUCGAAAACUAGUUUCGUAAUUUUUUCCUGAAACUAGACUCAUAUAUCAAUCUACAAAUUUUUUUCUAGAAUUUUUGGUCGAGCCAAUCAGUACAGUUUAUUAGUUAAAGUCUCCCCUAUAUCAGGGUUUGACUACUCUGACCUUCACACAUUACGACUUGGAUAUCUCCCUGUACAGGGCUUCAAUACUGAUUCUGUUUGUUUCUAUAGAAACUAGACUCGAAAAGGAAUCUAUAAAUAUAUGGCAUGACUUCCAGUUAUUUCUGGUUAAUUUGUAAUGAAUUUCCAAAGUCGAAACAGGGAAUCCAGAAACCAUUCUGGCCCUGUUUCACGAAAACUUAAAUAUCUCUUAACAUACGACUCAUAUGAUCGUUUCGUUUCUUCCAUAUGAAAAUAGAUUCAUCAAGGUUCGAUUACAUAAUUUAUUCACUAUUUAAUUCCAUUCCUACUAUUUUUAGUGAUUUUUCAAAUCCACAGCACUAUUGCUGUCAGCAUCUGUUUUUAAGGUAAACUUUACAAAUUUCAUGGUUUUCCAUGAAUCAACUAGAGGUUGUCAUACAUAGCACCAAAAUGAUCAUGAUUAACCAUUCCAAUGGCUAAUCGUUACCAAACAUUUCCAUACCUCUCAACGAACAACAUACAAAACGAUUAUAAUGUUAUGAUCAAAGUAUAUUUAAGCCAUUUUCGCAUGGCUAUCCAAAUUUAUACAAAACCUAAGGGUACAUGACCAACAUCAAAAAGGGUAGUCCUAUACAUGCCAUUACAAAGUUCAACCAAAAGUGUACCAAAAGGGGCUUUGAUAGUGGGCAACUUCGACUUCAAUAAUCCCGAGUCCGAUAGCUGACGAACUAAAAUCUAUAAAAAACAGAGAUUCAAAGAAGCGGAGUAAGCAUUUAAUGCUUAGUAAGUUUUGAGCCAUAAAAUUAGACACAACUAAAAUGUAGCAUUCAUAAGGCUAAACGGAUAAUUUCAUAUGCACAAAUUCUCAAUAUCAUACUUACUUCACAUUACCAACCCUUAUAUUCACACACAAAAGAUCAACUUAGCCAAAGGCCGGAAGUUCAUUAAUCGAUUGAGCGAAUACUACUUAAAAGGAAUCAAUUAAUCCAAUGCAUGUACAAAACAUACCUCAUUGUUGGGAUUUUACGAGCGUAUUAAUUGAAAUUAUUACAGCAAGAUCGCUCAUUCCCAACCCAAGUAUCUUCGGGAUUUAUCAGGAUAUAACCACUCGCACAAGGCCUUUGGGUCUUAGCCCAGAUAUGGUCACUAGCAUAAAUGCCUUCGGGACUUAGCCCGGAUAUAGUCGCUACCACAAAUGCCUUCGGGUUUUGGCCCGGAUAUAGUAACUCGCACAAAUGCCUUCGGAUCUUAGUCCGGAUAUAGUCACUUAGCACAAAAGCCUUCGGGACUUAGCCCGGAUAUCAUUCGAAUAACCAUGCACAUAUAUCAAUAAAUCAUGACACAUCCAUAUUUCAUUUUCAUUACCAAAGCUCAAACACAAGACACUUAUCACGCUUACAAAUUUUGGCUUAAUAGCCACAUACAAAGAGCAUGAUUUUGAUUUGCUUAUGACAUAAUCUAAUCGAAUCAUAAUCCAAGUUCCAUUACUCGAAAACUUACCUCGGAGGUGGUCGAACAAUUUCGGCGGCUAUUCGAUCACUUUUUCCUUUCCCUUAUCCAACUGUGGUCCUCUAAGCUCUUGAGCUAAUCCAAACAAAUUUAACUUAUUAAAGUCUCAUUAUGCUUGCUUACAGCCGAAUAUGACAAGGAGUUUGAUAGGUCAUAUGGCCACCUUUAGCUCAAAUACAAAAUUGUCAUAGGCAUUUUUAAUCACAUUGAGCAAUUUAGUACAAUUAAUCAAACAUUUCCUCAUGUGCACCUUUAUGACCAAAUACACACAUCAUUAACCUAAUAUCAAUUAACUAAGCACUUAAAAAAUUCUCCUUGAGCCGAUUGUCUAAGUCAAGAUAGGAUCAUCAUUAUACUUACCUAUAGCCGAAUGUACAACAUCAAUCUAUGCAUUCAUUCGUGUGGCCGAACAUGCAUGUCUAUGUUGAGGCCGAUUGCAUACUUAAUACAUUCUACAAGUAUGGUCACUUGUAUUGACCAAAUACCAUUUUGUUCCAAGUUCAAAACUUGACUAAUACACAUAUAUGCACUAUUAAAACAUCCUCUCCAUUCCUUCAAUUUAACACAUGCAUUACUCAUUAAUAUACAAAGCCUCGUAAGGUACCAUCUUAAUACUUGACUAAAAACUAUUGUUGUAAGCGAAUUCCAUCAAAGGUAAAUACCGUUCCCAUGAACCACUAAACUCGAGGAUGCAACAUCUCAACAUAUCCUCAAGUAUCUGAAUUAUCCGCUCGGAUUGACCAUCGGUUUGUGGAUGAAAAGCGGUGCUAAAAUGCAGCUUGGUACCCAAAGCUUCUUGCAAUUUCUUCCAAAAUCGCGAGGUGAAUCUCGGAUCUCUAUCCGACACAAUAGAAAUCAGUACCCCGUGUAAUCUCACAAUCUGAGAAACAUACAAUUCAGCUAGUUUAUCCAAUGAAAAAUCCACACGUACGGGGAUAAAGUGAGCUGACUUAGUCAGUCUAUCAACAACAACCCAAAUCGCAUCCUUCUUACUUGCCGACACUGGCAACCCAGAUACAAAAUCCAUCGUGACUCGAUCCCAUUUCCAUUCAGGUAUCGUGAUCGGCUGAAGUAAACCCGUAGGCACUUGAUGUUCCGCCUUCACUUGCGGACAUACUAAGCACUUCGAAACAAAAUCGGAAAUGUCACGUUUCAUACCAUGCCACCAAAACUGACGUUUCAGAUCGUUGUACAUUUUCGUACUCCCCGGGUGAAUUGACAUUCGGCUACAAUGAGCUUCGUUCAGAAUCAUCGAAAUGAGUUCUGAAUUUCUUGGAACACACAAACGACUUCUGAACCUCAAACAAUCGUCAUCAUCAAUUUGAAAUUCUGAUUCCAUAUUCGGAAUACAUUCAGCCCGUUUUGCAACCAAAUCAUCAUCGACUUUCUGAGCUUCGCGAAUUUCAUGAAUCAACAAUGGUUUGGCCUUUAAUUCUGCCACUAACACCUUGUCGGAUAGAACGGACAAUUGUACAUUCAUCGUUCGUAAAGCAAACAGUGAUUUACGACUUAAGGCAUCCGCAACCACAUUAGCCUUUCCCGGGUGCUAGUCAAUGACAAGCUCAUAAUCUUUCAACAACUCGAGCCAACGUCUUUGUCGCAGAUUUAAGUCUCUUUGAGACAUCAAAUAUUUGAGACUUUUGUGAUCCGAAUACACAUGGGACUUCUCGCCAAAUAAAUAAUGUCGCCAUAUUUUCAAAGCAAAUACGAUGGCAGCUAGUUCGAGAUCAUGGGUCGGAUAAUUUUUCUCAUGUAGCUUUAAUUGUCUCGACGCAUAGGCCACAACUCGACCUUCUUGUAUCAAUACGUAACCCAACCCAAGUAGGGAGGCAUCACUAUAAAUGACAAACUCUUUGCCUGAUUCGGGCUGCACUAGAAUUGGAGCUUCAGUCAAAUAAGUUUUCAGUUGAUCAAAACUUUUCUGACAUUUUUCCGUCAAUUCGAACUUAACAUCUUUUUGAAGUAGCUUCGUCAUUGGUGUGGCUAUCAUCGAGAAACCUUUUACAAACCGUCGGUAGUAACUGGCAAGUCCCAAAAAGUUCCGAACCUCAGUAAUAUUUCUCGGAGGCUUCCAGUUAAGUAUGGCUGAAAUUUUGCUCGGGUCAACUCGAAUACCCGAUGCGGAUACCACAUGACCCAAGAAGCUAACCUCUCUUAACCAGAACUCACACUUACUGAACUUAGCAUAUAACUGCUUAUCCCGUAAAAUUUGCAACACUAAUCUCAGGUGCUCAGCAUGUUCAGUCUCAUCUCUUGAAUAGACCAAGAUGUCAUCAAUAAACACAACUACGAACCGUUCCAAAUACUGUCUAAAGAUCCGAUUCAUCAAAUCCAUAAAUACCGCAGGGGCAUUAGUGAGCCCAAACGGCAUCACUAAAAACUCAUAGUGGCCGUAUCUCGUUCUGAAAGCAGUUUUGGGUAUAUCCGAAUCUCGAAUUCGCAACUGGUAAUAACCCGAUCUCAAAUCUAUUUUUGAAAACACCGAGGCUCCCUUUAGUUGAUCAAACAAAUCAUCAAUACGCGGUAACGAAUAUUUAUUCUUUAUCGUUACUUUAUUCAGCUGACGAUAGUCAAUGCACAACCUCAUGGUUCCGUCCUUCUUUUUCACAAACAAUACUGGUGCACCCCAAGGUGAGAAACUUGGUCGAGCGAAACCUCUAUCCGUCAACUCUUGCAACUGAGCUUUCAACUCUUUUAACUCGGUUGGUGCCAUACGAUACGAAGCUAUCGAAAUCGGCGUAGUCCCAGGUACAAGCUCAAUACCAAACUCUUCCUCCCGAACAGGUGGUAAACCCGAUAAUUCCUCGGGAAAAACAUCCGGGUAUUCACAAACCACCGGCACAGAUUCGGGUUUCCUUUCUAACUCUUUGUCAUCAAGUACAUACACAAGGUAUGCUUCAUUAUGCUUAUUGAGCUAAUCCAAACAAAUUUAACUUAUUAAAGUCUCAUUAUGCUUGCUUACGGCCGAAUAUGACAAGGAGUUUGAUAGGUCAUAUGGCCACCUUUAGCUCAAAUACAAAAUGGUCAUAGGCAUUUUUAAUCACAUUGAGCAAUUUACUAAAAUUAAUCAAACAUUUCCUCAUGUGCACCUUUAUGACCAAAUACACACAUCAUUAACCUAAUAUCAAUUAACUAAGCACUUAACAAAUUCUCCUUGAGCCGAUUGUCUAAGUCAAGAUAGGAUCAUCAUUAUGCUUACCUAUAGCCGAAUGUACAACAUCAAUCUAUGCAUUCAUUCGUGUGGCCGAACAUGCAUGUCUAUGUUGAGGCCGAUUGCAUACUUAAUACAUUCUACAAGUAUGGUCACUUGUAUUGACCAAAUACCAUUUUGUUCCAAGUUCAAAACUUGGCUAAUACACAUAUAUGCACUAUUAAAACAUCCUCUCCAUUCCAUCAAUUCAACACAUGCAUUACUCAUUAAUAUACAAAAUUAUAUUCGGCCUUAGCACACCUCUUGCUGGCCGAAUUUUUUCUGCAUCUAGCAACAUUUUAUGUACUAUGCCGAACCAAAAAAAUCAAACACCUAGCUUAAUCAUUUCCAAAACACUUAACCGGCCUUUGACCAAGACUUUAAACAAAGUCUAUGUUCGGCUAUCACACAUAUGGGCAUUAUUAGUUCAAAGUUUUAACAAGAUUAAUUUCUUUGAUCUUAACCUAAAUGACAACCCCCAUUGUUCAUCUAGAUUUAGCAUGAAACAAACACCAACCAAGAAAACAACACCCAUGGCCAAGUAUCAUCUUCAUCACAUAGCAAGAUUUAAACCAUGGGCUAGGUAGAACUCAAACUAACAUCAAAAAUAUGCAUGAAUCUCAUGGAACAACAUCAAACUUACCUUAACCUAGCUACAAGCAUGGCCGAAUCUCUUCAACAUUUCCUCCUUUCUUUCCUUUUGAAUUUCGGUCAAGAAGAAUGAAAAAGGAUGAACAUUUUUUUUCUUUGUUUUCCAUCAUUUUCCUUUUUCCAUUUCUUUAUUACUAGCUUUUUAUUUUAUUGUUUCCUACAUACCACAUUAGCACACCAUGCUUAAAAUAUGCUAUGCCCCAUAGCAUGGCCGGCCACUAGCUCAAAUAUUGGGCAAUUUGACAUGCAAACCCUCCAUUUCUAUAACAUGCAUUAAUAGGCCACUUUACAUUUGCCUAGCACAUUUCUAAAUUUUCUCACAUAAGUCCUAUUUACUAAAAUUCACCUACAAUUAAACAAAAUUCAAAUAUAAAAUUUUCACACAUGCAUAUAUACAUAUAAUAAGCAUCAAAUAUGACAGCUAAUUAUUUUUAUGACUCGGUUUUGUGGCCCCAAAACCACUUCCCGACUAGGGUCACAUUAGGGCUGUCACAACCCAGGUCCUUUAACUAACUUUAGAAAAAUAACUCUUGAAACAGGGUACAUGCUCGUGUGGAAGGGCAACACGGCCGUGUGGUCAUUAUAACAUGGCCGUGCUAAUGGCCCGUGUGACACACACGGCCUAAGUACCUAGGGACACACCCGUUUCCCAUGCCCGUGUGAAUUAAAUUCUAAAUUUGAACCUACAGGGGUUUUCAUAUGGCCUAACACGCGCCCUUGUCUAUGGCCCGUGUCUAAAAAUCUUGACAUUCUAUUUCUGACGUUAGCAUCCCAUUUAGGGCACACGGCUUAGGCACACGCUUGUGGCCAGAGGCCCUGUCCUCCACACGGAUGAGACACACGGCUGUGUCUCUGCCUGUGUGAUUACUACCAUGCAUACUGACUUGUAAAUUUUACAUGUAUGGGGCAGACGGCCGGAUAACAUGCCCAUGGGACUGACUGUGUGUCACACAUGGCCUAGACACAUGCCCAUGUGCCUACCUAUGUGGACAAUAGAAGGCUAUCUACCAAGCCUUUGCCACAUUGAAACACAAUCUAGCACCCACCCACAUAUGAAAAUCUAACUUAAUACGAUUUCUCAACCAAACAACCAUAGCUAAGGCCUACAUACAUUUCAUAAAUUCAACCAUGCCAACAAUUUCACAUUCAUGAAAGACUAGCUUGCCUAAGUCAUUCCACACCAAUUUUGUUUUCCAGCAUUAUUGACUUAUUGCCAUAUCACACUUUUAUUCUCUGAUUAUGACCACUUCGUUUGGUCAUAAGACAUUCAUCAAGCAUAUAUACUAUAACACUAACCAUUCAUAUCAAACAAAUAUAUAAUCACAUGACCACAUCACAAGGCAUCAAUACAUAGCUUGGAUAAAUAGGCUUACAAGCCAUCACCCAUAUAAGCCACGUCUCAUGGGUAAACACAACGGAUCAAUUUAAGCCAACAUCUUGACUAAAUUAGAGGAAUACACAUCGUAAUAACUAAGUCGCUAUACAUUCCACUCAUUCAAAUACACCUAAGGUUUCUCAAUACCACAACGGUAAUAGCUUGAUAGUGUGGUGUUGCCUCUGAUGAUCUCCAACCCCGAGCCGACCUGACAACACUAAAGAAAUAAAAAGGAGGGAGUAAACUUUACGCUUAGUAAGUUCAUAUGAAAAUAAUAAGCAAUAUGCCAACAUGCUUCUCAAGGUAAUACAACUAUAAUUACACAUUUACUUAUUUUCUAGUCAUGCUCUUUUUCUCGAGUCAUAGUUACUAAUUUAUUUAUAUCUGGAGCUAUGAAACUCCAAAUUAAGAUCCGCUAAUUUUCCCUGAAACUAGACUAACAUAUCUUCUUACCAUAAAAUUUUUAGAAUUUUUAGUCUAGCCAAUAAGUACAAUUUAUUCUUUAAAGUUAUCCCUUUUCACUGUCUGACAGUUCCGACCCCUCUUCACUAAAAAUUAAUUAUCUCAUAAUAUGGGACUCGGAUGAUGUUCUCGUCUAUUUAUCAUGAAAUAGAUUACAGGACUCAGAUGAUGUUCCCUUCUAGUUAUCAUGAAAAUAGACUCAUUAAGAUUUAAUUUCAUAUUUUAUUCAGCCUCAAAUUCGAUUUCCACAAUUUUUGGUGAAUUUUCAAAGUUGGACUACAGUUAAUGUCCAAAACAUUUUCAGUACUAAAAUGAUGAUAACUAAGUUCAUCACACCUUCAUUUCUUUUAAAUUAGAAUUCUGUGCAUUUAUAAACAUAUAUCUUAGUCUACAAAAUUAACACAACAUCAUUUCACAAUACUCAUGGACUUACCAUUCGUGGAUUUCAUAUUCAAUUGAGUUUUUGUACAUACCUGUACUCAUUCGUAACAUAACUCAAGUUCGUUCUCACCAAUGACAUACCUCAUUGGGACCAUCAUCAAAUCCUUUCUUGAAUUACCCAUUGAACACUAGGAACACUAAUGGAUACACGGAAACUUGCACAUAGCGCCAUAUAGGUAGCUAGAACCAACUUUUAGCUCGUAACAUAUGUAGCUAAAGCUACCACAUAUUUUGUAAUGCCCGCAUUUGAGCUACUCACGGGUCUGUACACAAAGUCAGCACCUGGAACCUAAAGCAUUAACAUGACAUGCUCACUUAGUGAGCUACUCAUGGGCCUAAUCACAUAGUCAGCACCCGGACCAACAUUAUAUAUAUCACUUAUAUCAUGAACUCAGACAUAACUCAUGAGUCUGAAUAUAAUUCCUCAUGAUAUAUCCCGUGUAUCCUAUACUAUUCCCGAGGUCAAACGGGGUUUCUUGUCUAACUCAAUGUCAUCACACUUGCUCAUAAUGUCAUUUAUUCUUCCAUCAUACAUUUCAUACUUUCAUGAUAGUAAUAAAACAUUUAAAUGUACAUAUUAUCAAAGCAUUAAAAUAUGCGACAACAUCACAUUAUUUCCUUAUGUACUUACUUGUCGAAUCUUCAUCAAGAAUAUCCGUAUAAUCAAUCAUACAAUUUAUAUAAUAAUAACAAUAAAUCAUUUAAUAUUCCAUUAUAACAUUGCAUUAUUAUUAUCACACGAACUUACCUUGAAUGAAAAUUUCGGCCAAUUAUUCCAUUUUAGUCUAUAACCUCGUACUUUUCGAUUUAAGCUCGAAUCUCAAUUUUCUUGAUCUAUAAUGAUAAAAUCCACUAUUUUUAUCAUCAUAUUAACCAAUACAUUUCAUAAUUUAUACUUUGGCAAAAUGACCAUUUUGCCCCUAGACUUUUACGAAUUUACAAUUUUACCCCUAGGCUCGUAAAUCUAUUUUUAUUGAAUUUCCUCACUACCCAAGCCUAGCCAAAUUCUUUUUAUACUAGGAUCAUCCCACAAUUCUCAUUAUUACUCAUACUUAUCACUCAUUUUGCCAUCUUUACAAAAUGGUCCAUUUUAGGUGUUUUUAUGAAAAUCUUUUCACAAAAGUUGUUUAUUACACAACCAUGACUCAUUUUAUUCCAUAAAAUUAAGAAAAAAACAUAAAGAUUCACAUGGAAAAACUCUAGACUUUCAACCAUUUUGCAAAAUAAUCCCCCCAUUAGCUAGCUCAUGCUACAAAGGUCUCAAAAACACAAAAAUCAACAAAAAAGACCAUCAAAAUGACUUACUAGUAAGGGUUGCAAGUGGCUAAAAAUUUCAAGCUUCCAUGGAGGUUUCUCCUUCAAUAUUUCGCUAGCGAAAGGAAACAGAGAAGAUAAAUGACCACUUUUAUUUAUUUAUUAGUAUUUGCUUUUGUCAUCAAAUACCAAACCAUUACCAACUUUCUCUAUUUUGUCAAAUCUUGUACCCUAUGGCCGGCCACCACUAAUUUAGAGGCCUAUUUGCACAUUAAAGAGCCCCAAUGAUGGUUCUCUAGCUAUUUAAUACAUUUGGCUAGCAAAAUAGGACUUUUGCACUUUAUGCAAUUUAGUCCUUUUUCAUAAGUAAGCUCACAAUUGUUAAAAUUAAUUAACCAAAAUUUUCAUGCACUUGUAUAAUCAUGCUAUGACACAUAAGAUAAUAUUAAAAAUAAUUUCUCCAGCCUCAGAAUAGUGGUUCUGAAACCACUGUCCUGACUAGACCCAAAAUCAGGUUGUUAUAGUAAAGUGAUAGCUUAUGCCUCGAGACAGUUGAAACUGCACGAGAAGAAUUAUCUGACACACGACUUGGAAUUGGGUACUAUUCUAUUUUCUCUAAAAAUUUGGAGACAUUAUUUAUUUGGUGAGAAGUGUUGCAUUUUUACUGAUCACAAGAGUUUAAAGUAUUUGAUGACUCAGAAAGAUUUGAAUUUGUGACAAUGAAGAUGGCUCGAGCUAUUGAAAGAUUAUGAGUUAGUGAUCGAGUAUCACCUAGGGAAAGCGAAUGUAGUCACAGACGCCUUAAGUAGAAAGACUUUGUUUGCUUUGUGAGCAAUGAAGAAUACGAGGUUAACUUUAUUUGAUGAUGGAUCGAUUCUGGCCGAGUUGAAAGGUAGACCGGUAUUUCUUCAGCAAAUUUUCGAAGCUCAGAAAGGUGAUAAUGAGUUGCAAGAUAAAAGAGUUCAGUGCUAAUCGAAUAAUGAUUCAAAAUAUCAGAUUGGAUCUAAUGAUUGUUUGAGGUUUUGAGGUAAGAUUUUUGUACUGAGAGAUACUGAGCUGAUUUAGAAAAUUUUUCAUGAGGCACAUAAUGGUUUUCUAUCUAUUCAUCUUGGGAGUACCAAGAUGUAUAAUGAUUUGAAGGAAUUGUAUUGGUGGUUAGGCAUGAAACAAGACAUUUCAGCGAGAUGUUUGAUUUGUCAAAAAGUGAAAGCCGAACAUCAAGUGCCUUUGAGUUUACUUCAACCUAUGACUAUACCCGAGUGGAAAUAGGAUAGAGUUACGAUGAAUUUUGUAACGGAGUUACCUCUAACUCCGAAGAAGAAAUAUCCUGUAUGGGUCGCUGUUGAUAGAUUGAUGAAAUUGACUCAUUUUAUUCGGGUACGUACUAAUGUUCACUUGAUAAACUAGCUGAAUUGUACAUUGUUGAGAUUGUUAGAUUACACAAGGUGCCUACUUGUAUUAUUUCGGAUAGAGAUUCGAGGUUUACAUCGUGAUUGUAGAAGAAAUUACAAGAAGCGUUGGGUACAAAGUUGAAUUUUAGUACUACGUUUCAUUCACAAACCGACCAUCAAUUUGAGAGAGUGAUUCAAAUUCUCGAAGAUAUGCUUCGCUGUUGUGUUUAGAGUUUGAAGGUAGUUGGGAGAAAUAUCUACCGUUGGUCGAAUUUGCUUAUAACAAUAGUUUUCAACUCUAGUAUUAAGAUGGCACCGUAUGAAGCAUUGUAAGGUUGCAAGUGUCGAACUCCAUUAUACUGGACAGAGCUUAGUGAGAAACAGAUUCAUGGGGUUGAUUUGGUCAGAGAAACUGAAGAGAAAGUGAAUAUAAUUCGUUAUUGUUUGAAACCAGCUUCGGAUCGACAGAAAUAAUACACAGAUUUGAAAUGGAAGUAUAUCGAAUUUCAGGUUGGUGAUAAAGUGUUUCUAAAAUUGUCACCGUGGAAGAAAAUUCUUAAAUUUGGUUGCAAAGGCAAGUUGAGUCCACGUUUCAUUGGGCCGUAUGAGAUUAUUGAAAGAAUAGGGCCGGUGGCAUAUCAACUAGCUUUUCCAUCGGAGUUGGAAAGAAUUCACAAUGUGUUUCAUGUGUCAAUGUUGCGACGAUACCGAUCAGAUCCUUCGCAUGUGAUUUCUCCAACAGAGAUUGAGAUUCGACCCGAUUUGACUUAUGGUGAAGAAUCGAUGAAAGUGUUAGCUCGAGAGGUUAAACAGUUGAGGAAUAAAAGCAUAGAUCUAGUGAAAGUUUUAUGGAAAUGGCACAGGGUCGAAGAGGCUACAUGGGAACCCGAGGAAGCUAUGAGAACAUAGUACCCUAACCUCUUUUCUGGUAAGAUUUUUGAGGACAAAAAUCCCUAAAGGGGGAGAGUUGUAAUAGGCUCGUUUUUGGGUCAAAUCUAAAUAGUGGUUGUAGGACCUUAAAUCUGAAGUAGAAGUAUUUAUUUUAUUAUUUCUUUAAGGUCUACAGCAUGAUAGAGUAAUUGUGUGAAAAUUUCGUUAAGAAAUUUUAUCGGUUGAGUACUCAAUUUGACUAGAAGGACUGAAUUGCAAUAGGUGCAAAAUUUGAGUUCUAUAGGCUAAAUGUAGUAAAUUGCUAUGAAAUUCUAAAUUAGAGGUCCUUAAAUGGUAAUUAGACCAUUAUACCUGGAUGGAAAAAAAUGGACAUGGAGUAGGUAAAAUUUCAAAGUUUAAGUCAGGGGUAAAUAGGUAAUUUGGUAAAUAAAGCGAAAAAAAUAAAAUAAAAGAUGUCAUCUUCUUCAAUUUAGUCCCUUAUAGCCAAAAUUUAGAAGAGGAGAAAUAGCUAGGGUUUGGCCAAGUCUUCAAGCUCAAUUGUAAGUCCGUUCUUGUCCCGUUUUUAAUGAUUUUUACAUUUUUGAGAUCGUUGUAACUUGAUUUAGCUAUUUCAAGGACUAAUUUGACAGAAAAUCAAAGUCUAAAAUUUUACCCAUGUUGGAUGUGCAUGUAUUUUGAUGUUUAAAGGUAGAAAAUGCAUGUUUUUUGUUUGUUAAAUGACUUUUGCAAAGUGAUUUUCGAUAAGAACGUCAAAUAGGGACUUAUUUGUAAAAGUCUAUGAAAUGUGUAGAAAAGAUUGAAUAAAUGAAAAAUGUGGGCUGUUAUGAGUACAAAUAAUAUUUGGAUAGGCUUGGUUUGUGAAGACAUUGAAAGAAAUUCAUUUUACGAACCUAGGGACUAAAUUGUUAAAUGUUAAAAAGUUAGGGCAAAAAUGUAAAUUUUUCCAUAAUGUGUUUUUGGGCUGAAUUCAAUAAUGUGAUGACUAAAUAAGUUAAAUGUGGUAUUAUAGAUCAAGAAAAAUGAAGUUCGGGUCUAGAUCGGGGGAAAAAUAAAGUAUUUGAAGAAUAGGUCCUUUUGGCCGUUUUUGUAACUGAGGUAAGUUCGUAUGUUAAAUAAGCUUUACUUUAAAUGUGUUUAAAUGCUUUAAUUUAUGUAUGAAUUGUGUAAUCGACCGUACGAACACAUUUGAAAACAAUUUGGCAAGCGAGAAAUCCCAAUCGAACCUUAGGAAUAGAUCAGGAUACAAGUGACAUGUCACUAGGGUUUUACGUUACGUGAUCCGAGUGCUGGUCCUGUACGUCCUACUGGUGGCUGAGUAUAGCGGCAUAUGUUGCAAUUACUUGACAGCUUGUGUGAGCAGCACUGAGUAGCUAUGAAUUAUGCCUUGAACUUGUGCAUGUGUAGGAGUAAAUGAGGGUGACAAAUGGCUUGGUAAAUAUCAUUUAUUUUGUCCAAAUAGGUAGACACACGGGCGUGUGUCUAGGUCGUGUGUGACAUUCGGUUUGCUCCAUGGCAUGUGUUUCGGUCGUGUGUCCCCUAUACCUUAAUUUUGAGAAACAGAAUGCUAAGAAUUGAGCACACGAGCAGAGACACGGGCGUGUGUCUCAGCUGUGUAAGGGCACAUGGCCUCAAGCACGGGCGUGUGUCUUGAUCGUGUGAAGUCUGCACCUAUUUUAUGAAAAUUUAAUUAACCACACGGCAUAACACACGGGUGUGUGACUUGGUUGUGUGACCUUAAUUUGUUUAUGCUUUGCAAAACAGAGAAUUACACAGGUUGGGGACACGGACGUGUGUGACCACAUGGCCUGUCCGUACGAACGUGUCCCAAGCCACACUAGCAUGUGGCCCCUAUUCAUAGCAAAAAUUUUCUAAGUUUUGUAAAACUUUCGCAAAUGUUUGGUUUAGUCCCGAACCACUUUUAAAGCAUGUUUUGGGUCUUUUAGGUUCAUAUUAGGGACAUUAUGAUUGAAUGCAAAUGGUUUUAAUUUGGUCGAAAAUUUAUGACUUGGAAUUGCAUGUUUGCUUGUAAUGUGAGUCUGGUAAUGCCUCGUAUCCUAUUAUGGUGUUGAAUUUCGUGUAAGGGGUGUUACAAAGAUGCCCUUGCUUAAGACGUGUAGUUUUCAACAUGUCAGCAGUAAACUCCUCAUAAGGGUCUUCAAUAAGCUUGUCAAUCCUCACAACCAUCUUACAUAUACGAUUUUUCAUCCUUUUGUACUGACCAUGUUGACAUGGGCCAAGCUCCUCACGCCUUUUCUCAAGUUUCUCGAUAAUGUUUGUAUCAUUAAUGCUCCUAGCGUUCUUAAUAAUAUCUUUUUCUUUCUUCUCUUUUUCCCGGUACAUAUCAAAUUUAAAGAAAAUUCUCGGGUCUUUAAACUCCUCUCUAGGCUUUCGACCCAUAUUAUCCAUGAAAAUAGCAUCGUGAUCGGAGUUUGCUUGUCUCACCACGUUUUUCACAAGGAAAGGGAGGUUAUCAUUAGCAUUAGUAGAGAUUAAGAUCUAUCCAAGCUCUCUUUUACCAUGUUAUUAUCAUCACGAUUAUUAACCUACAUGAACCAGCCCUUGUCGGUUUUGAUGUCAACAAGUCCUCCAUUACAUCUCUAAACUCAUCCAUGGUUACCGUGGAUUUCCUACAUCCCCUAUUUUUCAGCUUCAUUGAUGAUGGCAUUAAAGUCGCCACCCA
rnacentral:lncRNA from 1 species